rnacentral:lncRNA from 1 species
UUCUCUCCCUUAGGUGGUUUGCCAACUGGGGUUGGUGGCUUGUGUUCUGGGAGUGGCUUCUCCCCCUUGGGAGGUUUUUCCAAUGGGGUUGGUUUGUGUUCAGGAGGUGGCUUCUCCACUGGAGGCUUGUGUUCAGGAGGUGGCUUCUCCACCGGUGGCUUGUGUUCAGGAGGUGGCUUCUCCACCGGAGGCUUAUGCUCUGGUGGUGGCUUCUCCACCGGAGGCUUAUGCUCUGGUGGUGGCUUCUUGAAUGGGGGAUGCUGAGGGUAAUCAGCAAGUGAGGGGGCGGUGAGAACCACCAGGCCAAGCAACACCACUAGCAAAUAUGUAGGAGACAUCUUUGGGUUUGGGCUCAGAUGGUGCAAAACUAGGAGAAUUGGCUAGCCUUUUAUAGCGGAUCGUACUCAAUAAUGAAAUGACACGUGUCAUUAUGACCCAUGUGUAAUGGGGUCGAUUUGGGUCCUACAGUGUUGAAAACUUCGACAUCCAGUUUUGGCCUUUUGCUUUCUCUACAGCCGCCUUGCUUUUUCCCUCUUUCCUUUUGUUUUCCUCCUGCCCCAUUCUAUCAACUAAACACAAUUAUGUAGUUGUUUAAUUCUUAAAUGAGAUAUUAUCGGUCAAUCGUAUUAUAUUUUAUCAAGAGAGAACGGAGUGCAAUGCAGCUGUAAUUUUAUCGUUUACUUUUAUCUCUUGGACCACUGCAUUUUUGUUAAGAGGUGCAAUAAUACACGUCUUUAUCUGCCAUUCAAUGUUUACAGUAAAGAGAGGGCACAAAACUCUUCACUGCUCUGCAUGUGUCCCAAAAAUGCGAUUGGACAAAUUAUGAUUUGCAUGCUAAAAAGAGGCAAAUGAGGUUAAUUCGCACCAUAAUUAUUUGGUUUUCUGGACACCAUAAAAAGAUGUUAUACAGGCAGGGAAAAACCUUCAGAGUUAGCUACCAAAGAUAAUUAUCAAGCAGAUAUCACCAAGAGAAUUCCAUAGAGUCUGAAUCAAAGACAGAUUGCUCGCUCGUGGGGGUUCUUACUUUCUUUUGGGUAUAACUCACUGAGGUCACUGUCUUUUUUAUUUGCAUUUCACAGUUAGAGUUCUGCUCUGGAAGGUUUGUUCUGGAAACAUAUAAAAGGAGCAUCAUUUUGUUCUUGGGUAACCCAUAGUCGUGAGUGGGUCCAUUUGCAUGCUACUUAGUUGAAAAGUUGGACAAUUUGCUCCGACGCCUACCUCCUGGAUUCCAUGCUCGGUAAAACAAGAAUAAAAAAAAAUAUAUAAUUUACAAAUGGGGGAAAGAAAAAAUGUCGGAAAAAAUAGUAAAAUUCAUGUCACAUGCUAGUGAGAGAAGGGGUUGUUACACUCACUCGAAGUUCUUUUCAAAAUAUCGAAUGGUAUUUUACUUUAUGUGUCAGCGCAGUUGUGAAUGGAACGUGCAAAAGUCCAAAUUGGCGUUUUUAUUUUUCCCAUGUAGGAUGGUGACCUUUAAUAAAUAUUUAAAACAAAAGACGAAAAAAAAAAGGAGGGAAAAGGGAUCACAAAAGAUAAAAUAAUGUUUACAAAAGCUCAAUUAGUUUGCAAAUUACUGUUUGGAUUUUGAUAGUAUUUUAUUUGUCGUUCUAUAUUUGAUGUAAAAGAGAAUUUAAGAUAUUUCCGAAGCAAAAGCAUUAGUUUGCUCUGUGAUGUCCCACAUCGAAUAGGGGAGAAAGUUUCUGGCGCUAUAUAUGUAGAGGCUCCUCUUAACCAAGUAGAUGCGUUUUAAAACCAUGAGGGCCCCCUUAGGUCCAAAGCGGACAAUAUCUACAUGAUUGGGUGUAAGUCAUUACAAAUGGUAUCAGAGCCGAUCCCCGACCCCGGUGUGGGGGUUUGUUUGGCCCUGUAAGGGGUGUUUGUCUGUUUGACCCCACAAUCCCAUGGGACACAACGAGGACGUUGUGUCUGCAUGGGGGGGCGUUUGUGAUGUCCCACAUCGGAUAGGGGAGAAAGUUCCUAGUGCUAUAUAUGUAGAUGUUUCUCUUAACCAAGUAGAUGCAUUUUAAAAUUGUGAGGGCCUCUUUGGGCCCAAAGCGGACAAUAUCUACAUGGUUGAGUGUAAGUCAUUACAUGCUCCAUGUCAAUUUCAGCAUUUCUCAUAUGUUUCACACAUACACAGAAGAGCAUCGUUUUUUAAAGCAUGCAUUUAUGUUGGAUUAAUUUGGAUUUUGUGGGAACUGGGGCAAGGAUCACAUGGAAGAGAGGUUGACUUUUUUCAGUACUUCAAUGGUUGAAAUAUGUGAAGGCUUGAUUGAUACUAAAGCUUGAAAUUGCGACUCUGUCAUUUGUAAAAAAAUAUGACAGCUUCCAUGCUCUCGUUUGGUUGCAUUGUCCGGUCGAGAGGUGCAAAAAGCAUUCUCUCUCUUCUAAUAGUCUUUUCGUUUAAAUCAAGGGAUUUGCCUUCCCGGUCGAGGUCCAAUAGAGGGUAACGGUCACCUACUAAACAUUAAAUGCUCCAACAACUAGUGAACUGAUCGACCCCAGCUCGACUAGUUGAGGUUACUUUUUGGUUUUCUUGUCUCCCGAGGUUAGAAACCUAUAAAUAGAGAGCUUCACUUCAUUUAUGAGUAAGAGAACACCUAAAUUUAUUUGUUUACCUACUUGUUUUUGCCAUAAAAGCUCUCAUUUCUUUUCUUGGUGUAUUAAAUCUCCAUUUGCAUAUCCUUUAGUGCACCUUUGUGAUUCAUUCUAGCCUUGAGUUGUAUUUAAGCCUUUGUUGAGCUAGGUUGAGAGUUUCAUACUUGUUUAUUGAGUGUUAAAGCCUUCAAGUGAGUUAAAACUUGAAGAGAUUGUGUAAGAGCCCAUUGGAGUCGGAAUCCAAGUGUAAAGGUGAUUAAAAGCUUGGUUGAAGCUUCAAGUUAGUGGAACUCUCACUCGGUUAUGAGCUUGAGAAGAGUGGACAUAGACAAGGCAGUGUCGAACCACUAUAAAAUCUGAGUUUGAUUUCUCUAACCUUAUCUCUUUAUAUUUGCUUCUCUUGUGCUUAAAUUUUUUGUGUUUAAAAAGAAUUUUUAAAAACUCAAUUCACCCCCUUCUUGGGAGUUUUUCUCUUUUAAGAUCAGCUUUUAUUUUCUCAAUUGGUAUCAGAACUAUGCCUCUUGUUUAAGACUUAAUCGUCUAAGAGGAAAUGGCUAAUCCAUCAAGUUCAUCUCACAUUGAAAGUUUUGCAACCAAUAGACUUCUUUUUUUUUUUUUGCGGGAACUGAUUAUCCCUAUUGGAAAACUAAAAUGACUUGGUUUUUACAAUCAAUUGAUUUAGAUGUAUGAGAUGCCAUUGAAGAUGACCUAACUUUUCCUUCAAAACUAGUUGAUGGAGUCAUGGUUCCAAAACCUAAGCAAGAAUGGGAUGAGCGUGAUUGAAGAAAUUUUCAAUUAAAUGCUAAAGUCGUUUAUACUUUGCAAUGCUCUAUGGACAGAAAUGAAUAUAAUAGAAUAUGUCAAUGCAAAUCGGUUAAAGAAAUUUGGAGAUUGCUUGAAAUAACUCAUAAAGGAACAAAUCAAGUUAAAGAGUCAAAAAUCAAUUUACUUGUUCAUAGAUAUGAAUUGUUUUUUAUGAAAGAUAAUGAAACUAUUGUUAAGAUGAUCACUAGGUUCACCAACAUUGUUAAUGGUCUUAAAGCCUUGGGAAAGACCUACAAGGAAUCCGAAAACGUGAUGAAGAUCUUGAGGUCACUUCCAUCAAAGUGGCAUACCAAGGUCACCGCAAUUUAAGAAGCAAAAGACUUGAUCAAGCUACCUUUGGAGGAGUUCAUAGGGUCAUUGAUGACAUAUGAAAUCAAUUUGGCAAAGAAGUAACAAAAAGGUGAAGACAAAAAGAAGAAGAACAUAACUCUCAAAGCUACAACUAAGGAAGAAGAAGUUGAAGAAGAAAAACAAAUUGAAGAAGAUGAAGAUUUAGCCCUCAUCACAAGAAAGUUCAACAAAUUCAUGAGGGGUGAAAGGUUUAGAAGAAGAAGGUUCACUUCUAGAAGAGACUUUUCUAAAAAGGAAUCUUCAUCUAAUGGUGACAAAAAGAGAUGGGAAGAGAAAAGAGACUUGGUGUGUUUCAAGUGCAAGAAACCGGGACACAUUAAAUAUGAUUGUCCUCUCUACAAAAGUGAAGUCAAGAGGAAAAAGAAUAAGGCAAUGAUGGCCACUUAGAGUGAAAGUGAAGAUGAAUCAUCCGAAGAAGAAAAUGAGAAAGAAGUGGCAAACAUGUGUUUCAUGGCAAUAGAUGAACUUGAUGAGGUAAAAUCUAACCUUAGUGAUUAAGAUAUACAUGAUGCAUUUGAAGAAUUGUAUGAGGAUUUUUAAAAACUUAGUUUGAAAAAUAUUUCUCUUAAAAAGAAAGUUCAACAACUUGACAAAGAACUUAGAGAAGUAAAAGAAAAAUUUUCAAAUGUUAAAGUUUCUAAAACUCAUCUUGAAAAAGAAAAUGAGAUUCUAAGAAAGAAAAAUGAAUAGUUGAACUCCUCUCUUUCAAUCUUUUCUUCUAGACAAAAAUCUUUUGAAAUGAUUCUAACUAGCUAAAAAUGUGUUUUUGACAAACAAGGGUUAAGAUUUAAAUCUUCAAAAAAUCAAAAGUAUUUUAAAAACUAUUUUGUAAAGGAAUCCACAAGUGCAAGUCCUUCCACUACUUGCAACUUUUGUGGAAGAGAAUGGCACAUUAGUAGUACGCCCUUUAAGAAAUGGUUCUCAAAAGAAUUUAAAUGCAAAAACUAAAAAAGAUUUGGAUUGAGAAAUCCAAGGUCACUAACCCUCAAGGACCCAAAAAGAUAUAGGUACCUAAAUCAACUUGAGUUUUAUGUUGUAAGGUUCAAAGAAUGAUAAGUGGUUCUUAGAUAAUGGUUGCUCAAGACACAUGACCGGAGAUGAAUCCAAGUUUGCUUUUCUUAAAAAGAAAAAUGGAGGAUAUGUUACCUUUGGAGACAAUGCAAAAGAAAGGAUGAUUGGUCAAGGCAACAUUGGUAAUGGCACAUCCUCUCUCAUUGAAAGUGUUUUAUUAGUAGAUGGUUUCAAACAUAACCUUUUAAGCAUUAGUCAAUUUUGCGACAAAGGUUUUUAAGUGAUUUUUUAAGCAUCUCAUUGCAUCAUCAAGGAUAUUCAAAAUGAUAAAACCAUUUUCAUGGGCCAUAGAUGUGAUAAUGUUUAUGCUAUAAAUAUUUCAAAAUAUGAUGGCCAUGAUAGAUGUUUUUCAAGCAUGCAUGAUCAAAGUUGGUUGUGCCAUAGGAGAUUGAGACAUGCUAACAUAGACCUCAUUUCCCAACUCAACAAAGAUGAACUUGUUAGAGGCCUUCCCAAAAUAAUUUUUUAAAAAGAUAAAGUUUGUGAAGCUUGUCAAGUGGGAAAGUAAAUCAAAAACUCUUUUAAAAACAAAAACUUCAUUUCCACAUCUAGGCCACUUGAGUUGUUGCAUAUGGAUUUAUUUGGUCCCUCUAGGACACCAAGUCUUAGAGGAAAUUCUUAUGCAUAUGCUAUUGUGGACGACUUCUCUAGAUACACAUGAGUCUUGUUUUUUAGUCAAAAGAAUAAAGUUUUUUAUGAGUUUUCAAAGUUUUGCAAUAAGAUUCAAAAUGAAAAAGGUUUUUCAAUUACUUAUAUAAGAAGUGAUCAUGGGAGAGAAUUCGAAAAUAUUGAUUUUGAAGAGUAUUGCAAUGAGCAUGGAAUUGACCACAAUUUUUUGGCUCUUAGAACUCCUCAACAAAAUGGGGUAGUUGAAAGGAAAAAUAGAACUCUUCAAAAAAUGACAAGAACCAUACUAAAUGAAAACAACUUACCAAAAUAUUUUUAGGCCAAAACGGUUAACACUUCUUGUUAUGUUUUAAAUAGAGUAUUAUUGAGGCUCAUACUUAAGAAAACUCCCUAUGAGCUUUGGAAAAACAAAAAACCCAACAUUAGUUAUUCCAAAGUCUUUGGAUGCAAUAUUUUAUAAUAAACACCAAAGACAAUCUUGGAAAAUUUGAUGCAAAAUUGGAUGUUGGAAUUUUCCUUGGUUACUCAACUUCAAGUAAAGCUUUUCGAGUUUUAACAAAAGAACCAUGGUUGUAGAGGAGUCCAUCCAUGUUAUUUUUUAUGAAUCUCCAAGAAAGAGAGAGGAUUGAUGAUGAUUUAGGUUUGAAGACCUCUAUAGGAAGAUUGCAAAUCGAAGAUAGAAGACAACAAGAAGAAAAUGGAGAGAAUCCAAAGAAAGAAGGAUCACCAUUGGCACUACCCCCUCAUCAACAAGCGCAAGGUGAAUCAAGUCAAGAGCUUCCUAAAGAAUGGAAGUUUGUCAUCAAUCACCCACAAGAUCAAAUUAUAGGCAAUCCAUCUAGUGGGGUAAGAACUAGAUCCUCUCUUAGAAAUAUUUGCAAUAAUCUAGCUUUUAUCUCUCAAAUUGAGCCUAAAAAUAUAAAUGAUGUUUUAGAUGAUGAAAAUUGGAUAAUUGCAAUGCAAGAAGAGUUAAAUCCAUUUGAAAGAAGUGGAGUAUGGGAAUUAGUACCAAGACCUUCAAAUCAAAGUGUUAUUGGAACUAGAUGGAUCUUUAGAAAUAAAAUGGAUGAAAAUAGCAUAAUUGUUAGAAAUAAAGCAAGAUUGGUAGCCCAAGGUUUUAAUCAAGAAGAAAUGAUAGAUUAUGAAGAAACCUUUGCCCCCGUAGCUAGGUUGGAAGCCAUUAGGAUGCUACUUGCCUUUGCAUGUUUUAAAGACUUUGUUUUAUAUCAAAUGGAUGUGAAAAGUGCUUUUUUAAAUGGUUUUAUAAAUGAAGAAGUAUAUGUUGAACAACCACCCGGUUUUCAAAGUUUCAACUUUCCUAACCAUGUUUUUAAACUUAAAAAGACACUUUAUGGUUUGAAACAAGCACCUAGAUCAUGGUAUGAAAAAUUGAGUAAAUUUCUUUUGAAAAAAAUGUUUUAAAAUGGGAAAAAUUGACACAACUCUUUUUAUAAAAACCAAAGAAAAUGAUAUGCUCUUAGUUCAAAUAUAUAUUGAUGAUAUCAUUUUUGGUGCUACUAAUGUCUCUCUUUAUGAAGAAUUUUCUAAGUGCAUGCAUAGUGAGUUUGAAAUGAGCAUGAUAGGAGAACUCAACUUCUUCCUUGGACUUCAAAUCAAGCAACUAAAGGAAUGAACCUUCAUCAAUCAAGCAAAGUAUAUAAGAGAUCUUCUCAAAAGGUUCAACAUGGAAGAAGCCAAAACAAUGAAGACUCUAAUGAGCUCAUCCAUUAAGCUUGAUAAGGAUGAGAAAGGUAAAUCCAUUGACUCUAUUAUGUAUAGAGGCAUGAUAGGUUCUUUGCUCUAUUUGACCACUAGUAGACCUUACAUUAUGUAUAGUGUGUGUUUGUGUACUAGAUUUCAAUCUUGUCUUAAAAAAUCUCACUUAAGUGUCGUGAAAAGAAUCCUCAAAUAUUUGAAAGGGACAAUGGACAUAGGCUUAUGGUAUCCUAAGAGUGAUAACUUUGAAUUAAUUGGUUUUUUGGAUGCUGAUUUUGUCAGUUGUAGGGUUGAAAAAUAAAACACUAGUGGCACUUUUCAUUUCUUAAGACACUUACUUGUCUCAUGGCAUAAUAAGAAGCAAAAUUUGGUAGCUUUGUCAACAGCAGAAGCUAAAUACAUAGCAACUGGUUUAUGUUGUGCACAAAUCCUUUGGAUGAAAUAAACACUUAGUGAUUUUGAUUUAUCUUUUGAGCAUAUUCCUAUUAAAUGUGAUAAUAGUAGUGCCAUAAGUAUAUCAAAAAAUCUCGUGCAACACUCUAGGACUAAGCAUAUAGAGAUUAGACAUAAUUUUCUUAGAUAUCAUACACAAAAGGAUGAUAUAACACUUGAAUUUGUAAGCAUAAAAGACCAACUUGCCGAUAUCUUUACAAAACCUCUAAGAACAUUUUGUUGAUAUUAGAGGACAAUUAGGAGUGAUUUCUUUAUGAUCUAAUGUGAUGAAUUCUUGAUGAAUAUACUUUUUGAUUGCAUGAAUUUCAUGUCAUAUAUGCAUCAUAUAGAAAUAUACUUAGAUAAUGGUCAAAUUUCGACCAAAAAUCAAAAUUCCCAUGGCAUUAGGCAUAAAAAUUUUGGAAUUUCAACUGAAAAUGGUAGGAGGAGGAUCACAAAAUGAGAAAGUAUGCAAAAAUUGAAAAAUCAAAACGUUGACCAAGCGGUCAAUCGGACUAGACCGAUCGACUAGUUUGUCGAGAUUUAGGAUUUUUAAGAGACUCCAACGCUUCAAUUUUUGCACCGUUCUCCUCUAUUUCUUCACGGUUUCUCUGAUUUUGUCUUUUAGAGACUAAUUUGAGUGCGUUUUGGAUCAAUUGAAGCAUUUUGGAUUGGAUUUUAGGAAGAUUGAAAGUUAAGGUUUCGGAUUUGGGUCGCCUUCUCUUCCUCUCGCGUGUCACAAUCAGCUUUAGCAUUGUUCUCUUUCCAUUUUCACACACCUAGGGUUUCAGUUGUGAGCAUCUCUCUCUCUUUACCAACCACUACUCCCUUGCUUCUUCCAUAUGGCUCCUAGGCGAGAGUCCGCUACUUCUAGGGCACAAGGCAAGCACCCAACUGAGUCGUCUCAGUCAAAGGCACGUCGAAAAGUGAGAUUUGACAUUGCCUUGUUCAGUUCCAUGGAGGACUACCAACUAUACAAGCAACACUUUGCUUAGAGACGAGUAGUUCCCAAGAGAAAUAUUAAUUUUCCUCAACUUCAGCAUUUCGAAUUUAAGGGUCUAUUUACUAGGAUGGUUGGUUGUCUAUUGUCACAAUUUCGGAGCCGGUUUUCCUGACCUUAGUGCGAGUUUUUUACUCGAGGGCGACUUAUGGCAUGGGUGGCAUGAUCAUUUCUACUGUUGGAGGAGUUGAGAUCUGUCUGGACCCAGAGAGCAUCUGCCAUAUUUUCGAUAUUGCUCUGGUUGGACUCAAAGUAUACAAGUCCAAAAUGUGGCCCAUUGUGCCAGGAUUUGAGCUUAGAGAGGUCAUUCAGAGGAUUUGUGAACUUCCAGACGCCCAGGAGAUGGGCAAACCAUUGCCACACAGUUUGACGGUCAUCAACAGGGUGCUACACCAUAUAUUGUGCUCUAUCUUUCUACCACGAAGUGGACAUUGAGAUGAGGUCUCUUAUUAUGAGGCAUUCCUUAUUGACUCCAUUCUAACGGAGAGACGAAUUCAUCUACUAUGUCAUCAUUCACUAAGCCUCCUCACAGUGACAUACCACCUCAUCAGGCACCUCUUGCUCCUGACCAUGCUCCAUUGAUGGAUUUAUUUACUCAUAUUAGCUCUCUAGGCACUCGCAUGAAGGAGUUUGUUGUAGUUAGUGAUACAUGGUUCUACUCCAUAGAGGAUCGCAUGGAUCAGUAUCAGACUGGCUUCACGUCACAGUUUGAGUAUCUCCAAUAGAGGAUUGAGCAUAUUGAGGAUCACUUGAGCAUGAGAAGAUGAUGGCUUUUCUAUGCUCUGUGUUUCCACCUCCACCUCGUCAACCUUGAUUUCUUAGAGACCCAUUGUUUUCAUUUUGUAAUGUUGCCAAAAGGGGGAGAUAUUUAGGAUCUAGGACUCUAUAGGAGACUUACAUGCAUAUCAUUUUCAUAUCAUUGUUUGGAUCGUACAUAUUGGAUAGUGAUACUUUUUACUUAUAUAUGAUAUGCCUAUAUGUUUCAUGUCUUACAUUGUUUCUUAUUGCAAAUUAUCUCUAACAUGUCUUGAUUAUCUUUUUUUUAACUUCAUAAAUUUUGAUUGUUAACCCAUGAUUGGUUUGAGGGGAAGAUUCUUCUUCUCCUAGAUAACCAAGGUUUGUCAUCAUAAAAAAAUUGGAGAUUGUUAGCCCAAGGGUUCUCCUAAUCAUGUUUUGAUGAUAACAAACCAUGCUUAAGUUACUAAUUGGUUUGAAUUAUAAAGAAUUUCAAGUGUUAAUUUGAAAAUUCAUCAAAGAACCUAAUGGAUGCAAGAUCAAGAUUUUUGGAAGACCUUUAAUCAUAAGAAACAUAUGUAAGAUGAAUGCAUGGGUGCACUUAAGAUUUGCAUAUCAUUUCAUGCAUAUUUGGAAAACACGGUUUAUGCUUUAAAGUUACAUUUCCAUCAAAAUUUGAGAUCCAUCAAAUGAACCUUAGGAAAAAUGUUUUAAAAUUGGCAUAUAAUUUUACCUAAAGACCUUGCCUAAGUGUUAGAAGCAAAAGGACAAAAAAAAUAUAGGUUUUCUGGUCAAAAAUGGUGAACCAGUCAAGGCAUUGUCUAAAUCAGCUCAAUCGGCCAAGGUACCGGUCGAUCGGUUUCCCUUUCCCUGUCGAGAUCUAGUCAAGAGGUACAAAAAUCACAAUCUCUGUCUCUUUCUCUCUUUGUCUAUCUUCCAGUAGUCUUUCCUUCCCGGUCGAGGGAUUUGCCUUCCCGAUUGAGGUCCGAUUGAGAGUAAUAGUCACUUGCCAAAUAUUAAAUGCUCCAACAGUUAGUGAACUGGUCGACCCCCACCUUGCCCAGUUGAGGUUACUUUUUGGUUUUCUUGGCUCCCGAUGUUAGAAACCUAUAAAUAGAGAGUUCCACUUCAUUUAUGAGCAAGAGAACACUUGCAUUUAUUUGUUUACCUACUUGUUCUUGCCUUAAAAGCUCUCAUUUCUUUUCUUGGUGCAUUAAAUCUCCAUUUUGAUAUCCUUUAGUGCACCUUUGUGAUUCAUCUUAGCCUUGAGUUGUAUUUGAGCCCUUUUUUUAGCUAGGUUGAGAGUUUCAUACUUGUUAAUUGAGUGUUAAAGCCUUCAAGUGAGUUGAAACUUGUAGAGAUUAUGUGAGAGUCGAUUGGAGCCGAAAUCCAAGUGUAAAGGUGAUUAGAAGCUUGGUUGAAGCUUCAAGUUAGUGGAAUCCUCACUCAAUUAGGAGCUUGAGGAGAGUGGACGUAGCCAAGGAAGUGUCGAACCACUAUAAAAUUUGAGUUUGAUUUCUCUAACAUUGUCUCUUUAUAUUUGUUUAUCUUGUGCUUAAAUUUAUUGUGUUUAAAAAGAAUUUUUAAAUACCCAAUUCACCCCCCUCUUGGGUGUUUUUCUCUUUUAAAAUUAGCCUUUAUUUUCUCACAAACUAUUGUAGUAUAGUGGUUUUUAGGUGUCAUCCAUUAGGAUGAAUUGUUCUCGGUAAUUAAGGCGUGAAUGAGAGGAGAAUUAAUGAUUGUGAUUAAGUAAAAUUGAUUUGAAAAUUCAUGGUGAAAAAUCAAUUUAACAAUGGUUUCUAAUUGAGAAAAACAAUGAAAUGUGAAAUAAAAUAAAAUUAAUAGGAAAUGAAAUUCUCGAAGUUAGAAUUUUCUAAAAAACAAAUUCCAUGGUGAAUGGAUGUUGAGAUCUAAUUUUCAUCAAGUUAGAUUGAAAACCGAAAUUUUCAUAUAAACUGAUUUUUUAUUUAGUUUUAGGUCUAGAUUUAAUUUCCCUUAAAAUUAGGUUAUUUAAUCCAAGAAAUCAAUUCAAAUCAUAUAUUCAAUUCAUCUUAAAUUAUCUUCCAAUUAUUCACACAAUGCAACUAUUCAAUCUCAUCAAAUCUAGCUUUUAAGAAUUUAAUGAAUCUACCUAGUUUGCAUUGUAAUAGUCAUCCAUGACAAUUUGAAGAGAAAAAUAAUUCAAUUAAUCAAUCACUUGGAUCAAAUUACCUUUGCAAUUAAAGUUCAUUUCUCUAAUUCACCACAGAUUUUGUCUCUAGAUCCUCCUUUCUCAAAGAAAAAUGAGAUUUAGCCACACAUGAUUGGAGAUUUGGUCUCAUAAGGCAUGUUUAGCUAGUGAUAAAAUGAGAGAAAAUAAAGAAAAAUAGAGAAUUCGAUUAAGAAAGAAAAUCUAAAAAAUUCUACAAUUAGAAAUGUCCAAAAAGCUUUUUCAUGAGAAAAUCAAGUUUCUAUUUAUAGGCCAAGGUCAAGUGGACACUUGACAUCAUCUAAGAGGUCUUCCGGAAGCUUCUUCAUCAAGAAAUCUGGAGUUUAAUAAUAAAAUGGUCAUUUCACAAGAGCUCAAACAAUUUCGCAUGAUUAUGUGAAAUAAAAAAUGCAACAACAGCAAUUUACAUCUUCUUGGAGCAUUUCGCAUGACUGUGUGAAAUUUUCACAUGAUCAUGUGGAAUCGACUUGACAACUCUCAUUUAGCCUACAACAUAAUUCCACCUUUUGGUCCAUUUUUCAUAGUCAUGCGAAAUGGAAAUAUUUGAUUUUUAAGUUUUCUUUUGUCAUUUCUUUCAUUUCCUUCUCUUGAUUCCACUUCAACUACCUCCGAAUCCUGGUCCAAACCAAUUGCAUUACUUCUUUCAUUAUGCAUUUGGAUCAUCAUCAACAUUAUUUGUUCUCUUCAAUUUGAUUCAUCUCUUUUGUCACCAAUUUAUCAAAAUCAUACCUUGAAAUGACUCCAAAACUUCAUAAAACUUGUUAGUAACUCUUGCAAGGGCAACAACAUAUUAAUUAAGUGUUUUAGGCAUAGUUACUACUCAAAAGAUGCGAAACUCAUGAUAAUUAUUAUAUAAAAUAUGCUCUUUUUGAGUAGUAAUCAACUUUCUUGCAUAAGCAGACCUUUUAGGGUGGAGUACUAAAGACCAAUAUGCUUGUCCUUGUUGUAAUAAAGAAACUUGCUCUUAUUGAUUGCACCAUGGGAGAAAAUUUUGCUACAUGAGUUAUCAUCAAUUUCUUCCCACCAAUCAUAGAUUUAGACGUGACAAGAGGCCUCUUAAUGGCAAGGAGGAACUGACACUCACACUUAUACAAUUAUCGGGCAUUGAUGUGUUGCAACAAUUAGAAUAACUUACACCAAUUAUGUUGGGGAAGUCACAAAAGGCAAACAUGAAAACUAAAAGGAAAAAAGAAAAAUGUUACAUAUCACCACAACUGGAAAGAAAAAAGUAUUUACUUUCAUUUGCCAUAUUGGAAAGCACUUAUUUUACAUCAUAAUAAUUUAGACAUAAUGCAUAUUGAGAAAAAUGUGUGACAAUAUAAUUGAGACAUUGUUCAGUAUUGACGAAGAAACAAGGACAACCUAAAUAGUCAUCUCGAUUUACAAGCUCUAACUAUUAGAAAUGAGAUUCACCCAAUAGAAAGCAGGACCAAAUUUAUUUUGCUUGCAACAUGCUACUCACUCACCCCAAAUGAGAUUAAGGAAUUUUGCAAGUUUUUGAAAUCAAUAAAGGUCCCCAAUGGCUAUUCUUUCAAUAUCUCUCGUUAUGUGCAACUCAAUGAAAGGAAGAUAUAUGAGCUCAAAUUGUAUGAUUGUCAUGUCCUAAUGCAACAACUUCUCUCACUUGUAGUUCGUGGAGUUCUACAUAAGAAUGUUUGUGGAGUUAUCAUAGAAUUGCGUAAUUUUUUCAAGCAAUUGUGCUCAAAGGUGUUAGAAACAAAUCACUUACACCAACUUGAGAACAAUAUUAUUGUCAUACUAUGUAAAAUGGAGCAAAUAUUUCUUCCAUCAUUCUUUGAUAUUAUGGUGCAUUUACUUGUGCAUCUAGUAAGGCAAAGGUUGCAAGACUUGUGCAAUAUUGUUGGAUGUACCUAAUUGAACGAUAUUGUUAUAAUUUCAUAUGAAUCAUUUAAUUUUAUUUUAUAUUAUGUUCAGUUCAUUAACAUGUACAUUGGUCUACAUAUGGAUGAUGAUAGGUACCUAAGCACUUUAAAGUCAUAUGUGCGUAAUAGAACUUUUCUAGAAGGUUCUAUUGUAGAAAGGUACCUUGCAAAAGAAUGUACAACAUUUUAUUCUAGGUACUUGAAUGAUGUGGAAAUAAAGUAUAAUCACAAUGAUAGAAACUUUGUUGGUUUCAACACUAGAGGAGAUGAAAGGGGUUAUCUUUAAACAUAUUGGACAUGCAUUGGGAAAGCCCAUAUUUCAUUAACUUAGUUCAAAAGAGUGGUCACAAGCACAUUUAUAUGUGUUGACAAAUUGCGAAGAUGUCAUACCAUUCAUUGAGUAAAAAAUUUAUUUGAAUUUUAAUUAAAGCUCUAGUUUAUAUCCUUAAUCAAUGUUUUUUAAAUUCACAAGGAGCACAAGCAAACCAUCAAGGCUAGACCACAUAUACGUGUUUGAGACGUAGAUUUAAUUCAUAACAAGGAAUUUAUCAAGUGGUUUGAAAGACAUGUAAGUAUAUUCCUUAUUAUAAGGGAUUUAUUUCACAUUAUGUUUAUAUUGAAUCCAAACCUAUUAUUGAAUUGUAGGUUGAACAAUUACAUAAUGAAGGUCAUAUAUCUGAACACCUUCUCACAUUAUCAUGUGUUCCAAAUUCAUUAGUUACAUGCUUCAAAUGAUAUAUUGUCAAUGGAUUUAGAUCCCACAUUAAAGAACGUGAUAAAAAAGUUUUUAAAAAAAGACUCAGAAUAAUGGAAUUGUUGUAGUUGCAAAAACGUCAAGCUUUACAAGUGCAUGUGAUAUGAGUCCAAUUAUUAGUGAUGCUCUCUACUAUGGUGUUCUAACUAAAGUUGUUGAGUUACAUUAUCUUGGUGAAAAUAAGGUUGUUUUAUUCGAGUUUGAUUGGUGGGAUGUUACAAAUAUUGGAAAAUUGAUAAAAGAUGAUGAGUACAAUUACACAUUUGUUAACUUUGCAUGAAUUCUAACCACGAACGAACGAUUUGUACUUGCAUCUCCAGCAAAGUAAGUGUUCUAUGUGAAGAAUGCGAAUGAAUCAGAUUGGCAUACUAUCAUGGAGAUGCAACCUCAAGACCUCUAUAAGAUGAACGGGAUAGGAUCCAAUGGUGAUUUUGAACCAUUUCAACAAAGUGAACUACAUGAUCACUAAUAUAUCUCAGAUUUAGUUGAUGAAGAUAUAAUCAAGUGGAACAAAAGUGAUGUUUUAGGACUAAUCAUCCUAAAAAAUAUUGUAGUUUCUUAAAAAAAAAAUGAAAAUGAAGAAGAUAAUUGAACCUUUGUCAUACUUUAAAAAGCAACUAUGCAUUGUUCAUUUUGUAUGUUUUGGUUUUCUUCAUUUAAUUUCCUGAUUUUUGUGAUUCAAUGUCAUAUUAUUGAUCUUGAAAUAUUUUUCUAAUUUUUCAUUCUACGAUGGUUUCAACAAGGAUGACAUCAAGUCAAAAAAGGAAAUGUGGUCCCACACACAAUAUUGCAUUACAGGGAUUAAGGUCAGGGAAGAAGGUAAAAGUUGCAUUUAAUGAGUACAAUCAAUUGGUUAAACAGAAAAAUGGAAAACACUUAUCGAGCUACAUAGGGACACUUGUAUCUAACCAACACAAUGUACCUCUCCAAGCUAGUGAUUGGAAAAAUGUUCCAAAUGAUGCAAAAGAGAAAGUAUGGCCUUUGUUUUGGUAUGUUGUAUUUCUCACUAUAUGAUGUCAUUUCACUGUUAUUCUAUUUUGUGACUAACGUUUGAAUCAUAUGUAAGAAAAAUUUGAAGUAGAUAAAGACUGAAAAGAUUACAUGUUGGGUAUAGCCUCAAAUAAAUAUAGAAGCUAUAAAAAUAUGAUGAAUGCAAAAUACUAUGACCCUUGGCAUAAGGAUGCAUGAGGAGAGGUUAAUACAUAAAUCACCAUUUGUCUCUGAUGUUGAUUGGAAGUGGCUUGUCUCUGAUGCAUAAACCAAAUCCCCCACUGAAUGUUUGAUAUUUGAUAGCAGGAAAAACACACCCGCAGCUAUACACCUCCAUCAUUCAGAUAAUUAUAGUGGGGGAGAUGAUUCAUGGUUGCCCUUAUACCCUUUAUUUGCACCAUCUAUUGAGAUUCUUUAUCAUGGCCAGGUUUUACUGCAGCAAUAAGAUAUGGUGGCAACAAUUUUAUCUAUAGGUGCGGUUCCAGACCGCCUCCAUAGGUGCGGUUCCUGACUGCCUCCAUAGGUGCCUCUUCUUGUAAUGUUUGUUCUGGGAAUUACACUUGAAAGCCUUAUCGUGAUAAGGGAUUACAAACACUAGUUCAGAGGACAGCCAUGUUAAACUUCCACUAUGUUUGUGUCACAUUAUCAGCAGCCUAGUGUUUAUUGGUCAUGCUAUCUGCAACUAAUAUAACCCGGUGAACUUCAAUCUAAAUUCUGAAAGUACUCAUGUGACAGAUGGUGCCUUUCAGCAGAUAUCAUCAAUUUAAAAGUAGUGUGUGUGCCUAUAGGUGGGAAGGCCUUGGCAAAUGUUCAGUAUUCCGGUAAUUCAAGAAGGAUAUAUCUAAAAUAGAUUUUCUUCUUGCCCAUUUCAAUAGUUAAAAUUUGAGAAGAUUGUGUCCACAUCACACAAAUAUUAUUGGUCCUUCUGUUGCAAUUUACCUCUGAACAUGUCUUCCAAUUCCCACGGUCCUGUUACUCCAGGAAAACUAUUUCGGUCAUAUUGAAAAAAAAAAUAUUAAAGAAGGUACACAUGCUUUUAAGUGGACUGGGGCAUUCAUAUCAGGUGGUCUGUAUCCACAUAUGCCACUUCGUGAAAGGUGGAACAGCCUAAUCACUAGGCUAUUUAGUGUGGCCCAGCCACGUUAAUCAAGCACAAGUCUUCAUACUUAAAGUCAAAUGGUGUCUUUAGUCUCAUUACACAUCGCUAUUUGAAGAUUAACUCAUCACUAGUGUAAUGCGAUUAAGACAGUCCUAACUCAAUAUUUGUUCUAGUUUUGGAUGCAAAUGCUUGCUGGUUUCAUCAUUGGAUGGGAUAAAGGUGCAAUCAGGACUAUGAAUACGUGCAGUAAUACUUCAUUCUCUUUUUUCUCAAUGAGACUUCUUGGCACAAUUUUGCUGCUCAGCAACCUACCUUUCCAUGGAAAAUCAGUUGUGACUGAUAGUAAUGGAUAUAUUCUAGAAAGCUAAACAUAGAUAGCAUUCAAUAUUAUCGAUAUAACAUUAACAGCGUAUGUCUCAAUGCUCAUCAGCUACAAGCAAUGGACAAACACUUUGAGUAACUCACAGCAGUCAAAAUUCCUAAACAGGACAGACGUGACAGAUCUAUAUAUAGAACACUGCAUAUGAGUCACAGGAAAAGAUAAUACGGGUACAUAGAAGCUCUUAUUUUACAUAUUACUCAUACUGAUCAAAGUCGCUCAGUUGGGAUGGAUGGGAGAAGGAGGUUUGAGGGGUGGCUUGUGCGGGGAAGUUGGCAGCUUCUUUCCGGGAGCUGGUUGCUUCUUUGCUGGAGUUGAAGGAGGCUUAAUCUUCCGAGGUGGCUUGUAUGAGUCUUCAGCAUUCUCAGCAGGAGGGUGACCAGGGUUGUGACCAUAAUGUGGUGGCUUCUCUCCCUUAGGUGGUUUGCCAACUGGGGUUGGUGGCUUGUUUUCUGGGAGUGGCUUCUCUCCCUUGGGUGGUUUGCCAACUGGGGUUGGUGGCUUGUGUUCUGGGAGUGGCUUCUCCCCCUUGGGAGGUUUUUCGAAUGGGGUGGGUUUGUGUCCUGGUGGUGGCUUCUCUCCCUUGGGAGGUUUACCAAUUGGGGUCGGUGGCUUGUGUUCUGGGAGGGGCUUCUCUCCCUGGGGAGGUUUAGUGGGUGGCUUGUGUUCUGGAGGUGGCUUCUCCACCGGAGGCUUAUGCUCUGGUGGUGGCUUCUCGAAGGGGGGAUGCUCAGGGUAAUCACCAAGUGAGGGGGUGGUGAGAACCACCAUGCCAAGCAACAACACUAGCAAGUAUGUAGUAGACAUCUUUGGGUUUGGACUCAGACAGUGCAAAACUACGAGAAAUCGCUAGCCCUUUAUAGCGGCUCGGACCUAAUACUGACAUAAUAUAAAAUAAAUAUUAUAUUUUAUCAAGAGAGAACAGAGUGUAAUUUUAUCAUUAAUACCGAUCGAGGCCAAAGAAAGAAGACCCAUAAUCCAUUUCCCACAAGCAUACACAAUGCAGCUGUAAUUUUAUCAUUUACUUUUAUCCCUUGGACCACUGCAUUUUUGUUGAGAGACACAAUAACACAUUUUUAUCUGUCAUUCAACAUUUACAGUAAAGAGAGGGCACAAAACGCAAUUAGAUAAAUUAUGUUUUGCCUGCUAAAAAGAGGCAAAUAACUUUAUUUGCAACAUAAUUAUUUUGGUUUCUAGUGACCCCGGGGCCUUUCGGUUGGUUUGGGAUCGGAAAAUGAACAUCAUAGGGGGGGUUGUGCCCUUAUGGGCAUAUAUAUCUGAUAGCUUCAACUGGCCUUGUUCCUAGAAAGAAAUUGCCAAAGAUAUAAACUUAUUCCAGGCUGAAAGUAGAUGAGAGUCAUAAUGAACAUCAACCUUUGUUCAGUUUGAUUCAAUGCCCCCAUAGUGUUCAUUUCACAGAUCUGAAUGAUUAUAUCCGUUGAAUACAUAAAUUAAUGAAGACAAAUAUGAAACCCAAGAUACAUCUCUGCAUAACAACCCCAACCCUGGUUGCUAUGUUUCCCUUCUUCUAUUCACAUGAGGAUACUGGUUAUAAUUGUCAAACUUGCAACAAGCCCUUUGACACCUAACGUCAAUGGACGAAUUAAAAGUCUCCUUCAAACGUCUAUUUCACAGCAUGAAGCUUAUAAAGGAUGCUGACAACCUUCAGAGUUAGCGACAAAAGAUAAUUAUCAAGGAGAGAUAGUUCCAUGAGAAUUCCAAGGAGUCUGAAUCAAAGACAAAUUGCUCACUCAAGGGUUCUUAUUUUCUUUUAGGUACAAAUCUCUUGAGUGUUGUUAAAGAAACACGUCACUGUCAUUUUGAUUUGCAUUUAACAUUUCACUUUUGUUCUGGAAGGUUUGUUCCGGAAACAUAUCAAAUGAGCAUCAUUUUCUUCUUCGGUGACACAUGGUCGCGAGUACGUGGGUCCAUUUUCAUGCCACUUAGUUGAAAAGUUGGAAAGAAAAAACAUGCCAACAAGAAGAUAGUGAGAGAAGGGGCACUUCAAGCCUUUAACAUGAACAAACAGUAAAUAAAAGAUGUUUCUCCACUCAUAAAAGUGUGUUAGAUAGCAAUAUAACGAAUCACAUCCAAAAUCUUUACUAGGCUCAAACAUAAAGAAGACUCAUUUUUAAGAAAAGAUAAAAAUGGCAUUGUCUGAUAGUAUCCAAUACACGAGAUGGCACUUAAUUUGUACAAGAUCUGUCAAUGCUGACGCACAUUUUCUGAUUAAAAAAAAACUGAUCAGUCAAAAGCAAUGAAGAGAAGUGAUGACAAUGAAUGAUGCUUCCAAUAUUUUCACCCCUUAUAGUGUUCUUCAUGAUUCAGAUAUAUAAUUGGAAAUAGAACAACCCUAUGCCAUACAUUCGUCUAAGUAUGGUGUCUAAUUUUUUGUGUCAGCGGUUGCGAAUGGAGCGUGCAAAAGUCCAAAUUGGCGUCUCUCCAUUUCCACAUAGGAAGGUGACCUUUAUUGACAAAUACCCAAUAUUUGUAGACAUUCCUUAAAUAUCAUAACUUCUUGUUGAUUUGAAAAUCAUUUUUCAACUACCAUGUUUUAAUAAAUAUUUUUUAAAAUGUAUUUUUAUCAAAGUCCACCAUGAUGGAUAAUAUUCACCAUGCAAUAAUUAAUAAAGUACAAACUAAGCGAAAUGAAAAGCAUUUUCUUUGCUUUGAGUUGAUUUUGGUUGCAUUGAGUUGAUUUUGGUUUCAUGGUUUUUUCAACUCUUAUUUUGAUUGGAAGAUGUCAAGAAAAGAAAACAUAAAGAAAAAUUAAAAGGGAAAAAAGAAGAAAAAUAAAAAAAAAUAGAUUUAAAAGUUAAUAAAUUAUUUUUUAUAUUUAUUUUAAUUCAUUUCACUUAUUUUUCUUUUACUAUAUAAAAUUUAAAUAAUUUAAAUUUUAUAAUUAAUUUAAUUACAUUUCAUUUUCUUCUAUAUUUAAAUAUUGGAAAAAUAUUUUACUUAAUAUUUUUUUCUUUAAUUUCUUUGGCAUUUUGGGAACCAAACUUAGCCUUUAAAAUAAAAAACAAAAAAAAAAUGAAAAUAAGGAGGGAAAAGUGAGAAAAGAUAAAAACAAUAUGUAAAGGAUUUGAAAAGUAUUAGUUUGUAAUUACUAUUUGGAUUUCAAUAGUAUUUUAUUUGUCUUUCUAUAUUUCAUGUAAGAGAGAAUUUAAGAUAUUCCCCAAGGCAAAGCAUUAGUUACCUGCAAUCAGUGGUGAUAAGGCUCCAAGCCAAUUUUGGGCCCCAUAUCUUAAGACAGUACAAUUUCCAUUUCAACAUUUCUGAUUUCUCAGAUGUUUCACAUACCACAGAAGAACAUUGUUUGUGAAAAUAUGCAUUUAUGUUGGAUUUUGUAUGCUGUGGGGACUGGGGCAAGGAUCAUAUGGAAGAGUGGUUGACUUUUUCUGUACUUUAACGGUUGAAAUAGGAUAAGCACGGGCAUUUGUGAGGCUUAAUUGAUUUUGAAGCCUGAAAUUGCGUUUCUGUCAUUUUGUCAAAAAAAUGGCAGAUUCCAUACUCAUAUGUUUGGCCUGUGGCCAUGUACAGAUGCCAUUUAGUGACCAGUUUGUAACUGUCAAUCGUUGCGUUUUGACUCUGCCUCAACAACAUCUGCCAUUGACGGGUUUUCAUACUUGCAAAUCAAAUAGUCUUUCGUCCCAUCAGGAAUUUCGGUUUAAAUAUUAUUAAGCAUACGUUUGGCUGACAAUCAUUAUCCAGUUCAUGAUUUGGUUUCUUACCCUUAAUCAAUGGUUUCUAAGUGAAUAUAUGUAGAAGGAAAUCCGAAGUGUAGACAGUAGUAUCGAUAACUCUCAAUAUUCUCUAUAUAAUAGAAUAAACAGCGUCAUAGUGAUCGUCGCCUACAAGCAAGGUACAAAUACCAAAACGAGUGACUCACAUAGACAUCUCCCAACAAGAUGUAGUAGUGACUGACACAUGGACACAAUUAACUCGUAGAAAAGGAUAAGACCAUUGCACAGCAGCUCUUAUUUUACAUACUACUUAUGCUAACCAAAGUCAAUUAGUUGGGAUGGGUGGGAGAUGGAGGUUUGUGCGGUGGCUUGUGGGGCGGAGUUGAUGGCUUCUUUCCAGGAGCUUCUGGCUUUUUCAUCGGAGCUGAAGGAGGCUCAAUCUUAUGAGGCGGCUUGUAUGAGUCUUCUUUACUCUCGACAGGAGGGUGGCCAGGGUUGUGAUCAUAAUGUGGUGGCUUCUCUCCCUUAGGUGGCUUGCCAACUGGGGUUGGUGGCUUGUGUUCAGGAAGUGGUUUCUCUCCCAUGGGAGGUUUAGCAAUUGGGGUUGGUGGCUUGUGUUCUGGGAGUGGCUUCUCUCCCUUGGGAGGUUUAGUAGGUGACUUGUGUUCUGGAGGUGGCUUCUCCACCGGAGGCUUGUGCUCCGGUGGUGGCUUCUUGGUUGGAGGGGGCUUGGGGUAAUCAGCAAGAGAUGGGGUGGUGAGAACCACCAGUCCAAGGAACAACACUAGCAAGUAUGUGGGAGACAUUUUUGAGUUUGGGCUGAUCAGAUGAUGCAAAACUAAAGCAUUACGUGACCUUUUAUAGCAUGUAGCUCCCAAUACCCACUAAGUAUUGUGGGGUCCAUUUGUGCCCUACGGGGUUGAAAACUUAGACAAUUGGGCAAGGACCCACCUGACUAUGGAGGACUAGUGAGGUGUGAUCAUAGCUUUAGGAUUUUUCUUCCUCUGCAGCCGUCGUGCCGUUGGCAUGAUUUUCUUAAUCUUAAAUAAAGGCAUAGUUAUAGAGUUGUUUAAUCUCUAAAUGGGAUUUUAUAUAUAUCUUCAGAUAGCCAUUAAUAUAUUUGAUGAAGAAAGAAAGACAAGUGCAUACAACAUGUAUACGACUAGCUUUCAUGGAGUUCAUUUAUGAUCAGUUUUCCUGUACAUGUAAACCAGGAUCAUAUAUAUGUUUCUGUUCCACAACUAUUUUGGAAUCUUGUUUAUCAGUUUUUAUCAUUAUAAUGUCACAUAGGCUGCCAACUUGGGCGCUAAAAGAACCAGUUGGGCUAGUUCGUUUCAGAAUUUCAAUGUGGAUUCAGGAAUUGUUUUGUAAGAUAUGCGAAAUAGUAGAGGGAUGAAUAGUGUUUCAUUAAUAAAAGUGUCCUGUAAAUUAGAAGGUGUCAUAGAAACUAUAAUCAAUAAAUAACUUUUUUUCCCCACGGGUGGUGUUUCUUGUGGGGAUCAGUGACUGGUUUAGGUUCACCCAAAAUGAGUUCAGACUAAAAUUGGUUUGAGUCAAUGCCGUGUCUCUUUUUUCCAGAAAUCAACUAUUUUAUGCAUUGAAUAAAUCAUACAAAGAAAAUAUGAACGCCCGCAAAACCUAAACCCUGGUUGCUAACUUUCUAUGUUUCAGUUCUAUUCACGCAAGAAUAUUAGUUUAAGUUUGGGAAAAAUGGCAACUUACCUAGUGAUUACUUGGUUUUGGUUUGCGACUAUUUACGCAACCAACCAUGAGUUUGACUUUAACGUCAUGGGUUGAAGCCUCCUACAGGAAGGGAGAAAGCUCCACAGCUAGCUCCAAAAGAGAAUUAUCACAUUGAUAGCUCCAGAGAUUCCCAAGGGGACUGAAUCAAAGACAAGUUCCUCACUUUUUCUUCUUUUGAGGCCAAAUAUGAACCAAGGAUCACACAACCUCAUUCAACUUCAUAAGUUUGAUUUCAUGCAGUUGAACACUGGGUGAAGGCCAUGACAAGAAUUGAUUCAAAAAUUCUAUCACUCUUUUAAGUAAUGGAAGAUUAUUAUCUCUGAUUGGCAUCACAACAGCACAUGCUCCUAGAUCUUUCUAGACACUCCAUGCAAUGAAAGCACAAUGGAUCUUGUAACGAUAGAAACUAAGCCAUGCUACAGUACUAGAUGAUGAGGUAAAACUAGUAGACACGGGUGGCAGCCUAUAUGGGAGGGACACAAGUCUAAUUGAUUUGCAUUUCAGCAUUAUAGAUAGGUAUGUUUUGGAAGAUUUGUUCUGGAAAUACCGCACCAAGUAGGAUUCUUUUUCUCUUUAGUGGGUCCACUUGCAUGCCAAUUAACGAGUUGAAAAGUAUGAGCACCUACCUCGUGCUCGUGGAACCGAAGGUCAGUGAAGUGGGGCUCCUUUUGGCCUCGUGUAAACUUGAUUCAGAAGUGAAGUUAAUAGUCUUCCAUUCAGAUGGAUACAUGGGAAUUUUUCUCUUUUAUUUAUUUAUUUAUUUUUUUUUUGUGUGUGUAUGUCAAAGGAUAAUGAAUGAAGCGCGUUAGCUUGUUUUCUGACUGGAACCGCAGAUGUCCAAAUUGGAGUUCCUUCAUUUCUUACUUAGGAUUGUUACAUGUAUAAACAAGGUAUAAGAAAUAUGCCAACGUGUCUUGAGGAGUUAUUGAUUAGAAAUAACAAGUCACCCGACUGUAGAGUUCCAAGAUUUGAAUCUUCAGACCCUAUAGCAGCCUCUGGGGUACGUGGCAUCCUAUAGCAUAUUAAUGAAGGCUUUUUCGAUUUAGACUUCACAAUACCAAUUAAUAUGUAUGCACAAAAUGGAGAUGACCCCAAAAAAAACAGAAUCGCCAUAGUUUAUGAGGUUAAGGUGAUUCUCCACUUAAUAUCUACAUUAGCUAAUUAUGUAAAUCAAAUGAACUUCUAUUUUUCCUUUUUUUUUUUGGUUUAUGUCAAAUAGUAGCCCAUAAUUAACCCAACCAUUAGCCUGUUUGAAUUGAUUUCACAUGCACAAUGUUGUAGUAGUUCAUAUUUUGAAUUUUAUUUUUACAAAGGUAGUUAAGGAAAAUGAAGUAUAAUAAUUAUAAAAGCAGACUAUAUACACUACAAUAAUUGUUAGAAUGGUAUCUCAAAUUCUAAUUUAAAAUAUUAUUUUUUGUAAAAGAAAUAUUAUAUAGAAUAUUUCCUAAUUUUAUAAAUGAUUAUAAUUAGAUCUUUAUAAAAUAAGGAAAGUUGGUAAGAAUAUCUUUAUAAAUAUUUUAGGUCAUGAGAGAAAGAAAUGGGAUAAAAAUGUGAUGAAGAGGUGAAAUAAGAGAGUUGAUUAGGAUAUAGAUGUGAAGAAGAAAGGGAUUCAAUAUAUAUAUAUCUUUCAAUUACCACAUUAAAACCCUGUGAACCUUUUAUAUGGUUUACUUUAUUUUUAUAUUCCUCCUUUAAUAUAUUUACAUUAAUGCUUCCAUUGGCACAACAAUAACGAAUUACAAAUACAAGCAACAAGUCCCAUGUUUUAUUACCAAAAGCAGGUAAAAUCCACCUAAUAUAUUACAAUAUAUUCAUCCAAUAUUUUAGACCAAUUCUUCACCAUAAAUAUCAUAAUGUGGCUUUUGUUCUUUCUUAAAUUUAAAUUGAAUUGUCUUAUAUCAAUUUGUUUGUGAUUUUUUCAUUAACUUCACUUUCAUUUGGUUAUCUUUGGUUUUUGAAAAGUAUUAAGGAAUUAAUUAACAAAAUAAUGUUAAGAAAAAUAAUUUUCUCUCUUUUGAUUUUGAUUUUGUAGUAGAAAAAUAUAAUUAAAAUUAUUUAAAAAGUAUGUAAUUUUAAAUUAUUUAAUAUUUAGAUAAAAAAAAUAAGUCUAAUGAGUUUAAAAUAACAUAUAAAAAUAAUUUAUUUAUUUUAAAUUUAUUUUUUAUUUUCCAUUAUGUUCUCUUUCUCUUUUACUUUUUCAUAUUUUUUCUUACGAAGAAUCAAACACAACCUCAUAUUAUAUGUCAAGUGUUUGUCUAUAUUUGAGCAAUGUUAGAUACGGCCAUGGAUUCAUCAAACUAAACUGAUUUUAAUAGAUACUUCACAAAUUGAUUUAUACACUAAAUCAUUGGAUAGCAAUGAUGCAUUGGAAUUAAACGUAGGAUGAAGCUCGAAGAACACUGUUUGUGUAACAACAUAUUUAUGAAAUUAUGCAAAGGAUGAGCUUCGGGGUAGUAGUACAAGGUCAUUAAUGGAGAGCCGUGUUAAACCUUGAUUGUGAUUGGAUUCCGUUAUCAGCAACAGCAACCUUGUUUGUAACCUUGAAAGUCAUUCUGUCCACAUCGAAACUCCAAUUUGACGUUUGUAAUUACCAUUCCUGGAGUGUUCCUUGAUUGAAAUUUAAAUAAUAAUUGCGGCCCACAAGGAAUAUUUUCGAUUCUGUGGGAAUUUGACAAGGUUUGUUAGAGAAGACUGGUGACAUGUUGACUUCAAUGGUUCAAAUAGGAGACGUAUGUGGAUUUGGGGGGUUUAAUUGAAACUGAGUCCCUAUGGCUUUUUAAUAUUUGCAUUGAGCAGUCUCCAUGUGACUUCCUAAUUCCCACCAACCCUCCUGUCCAUGCUGUGAAACUAAAUUGUAAUUUAUCAGCCUUUGUCAAUGGUUUCUAAAUUAAAGAUAUAGACCAUGCAUGUACUUUAAUAAAAGCAAAUCUAAAGUGUAGAUAGCAGCAAUGGUGACACCCAAUAUUCUCCAUAAAAUAGAAUUAGAAUAAGCAGUGUUACAUUGUUCAUGAUCACCUACAAGCAUACAAGAACUUCCAUGAAUAACUCAUAGCAAUUGCCAACAGGGCGUCGUAGAGACUCAUACAUAGAACACUAUCCACCCAGAGGAAAGGACAAGACCAGUGCGCUGCAGCUCUUAUUUUUCACAUGUAUACCACCACUCGUAAUAACCAAAUUCACUCAGUUGGGAUAGGUGGGAGAUGGUGGUUUGUGGGGUGGCUUGUGGGGAGGAGUUGGAGGAGGCUUUAUUUUCUGAGGCGGCUUGUAUGAGUGUGCAGGAGGAUGCCCGGGAGUGUGACCAUAAUGUGGUGGCUUCUCUCCCGUAGGUGGUUUGCCAAAUGGGCUUGGUGGCUUCUCUCCCUUAGGAGGUUUACCAAUUGGGGUUGGUGGCUUGUGUUCUGGGAGUGGUUUCUCUCCCUUGGUAGGUUUGCCAAUUGGGGUUGGCGGCUUAUGUUCUGGGAGUGGCUUCUCUCCCUUGGGAGGUUUGCUAAUUGGGGUUGGCGGCUUAUGUUCUGGGGGCGGCUUCUCUCCCUUGGGAGGUUUGCCAAUUGGAGUUGGCGGCUUAUGUUCUGGGAGUGGCUUUUCUCCCUUGGGAGGCUUGCCAAUUGGGGUUGGCGGCUUAUGUUCUGGGGGUGGCUUCUCUCCUUUAGGAGGUUUGCCAAUUGGAGUCGGCGGCUUAUGUUCUGGAAGUGGCUUUUUUCCCUUGGGAGGUUUGCCAAUUGGGGUUGGCGGCUUAUGUUCUGGGGGUGGCUUCUCUCCCUUGGGAGGUUUGCCAAUUGGAGUCGGCGGCUUAUGUUCUGGGAGUGGCUUCUCUCCCUUGGGAGGUUUUGUUGGUGGCUUGUGUUCUGGAGAUGGCUUCUCCCCUGGAGGCUUGUGCUCCGGAGGUGGCUUCUGAAAUGGCGGGGGCUUGGGGUAAUGAGCAAGAGAUGGAGUACUGGUGAGAACCACCAUUCCAAGCAACAAUACUAGCAAGCAUGUGGGAGACAUCUUUGAGUAGUUGUAGCUAAGAUGGCGCAACACUGUAGGCAUUGGGUGGCCUUUUAUAAAGGGCUGGACCCAACAGCCAUAUGACACGUGUCAUGAUGACAAAUGAAGUUGAGGGGAUCCAGAUGGGUCCUACUGAGUCGAAAACUUGCACUAAUUGAUCUGGUGAGAUGACUAUUUCUGUCCUUUUGCCCUUCUCGGCCACCCUGUGCUGUUUUCCUUUUGCACGAUUUUCGUUGCCAAACAAGCAAAUAAUAUUUCGCCAAGAAAGAGGAGAGUGAAUGUGGAAUGCAUCAAGUCCCAUCAAGGAUGGCAGAGAAGAAAUAGAAGAUUGCCCAACUGUGAUAAACAUAGCAUACACGUAGCACCAGGAACUUCAUUUACUUCCAUCUAAUGGAACAUAACAAUCUUCUAAAGUUUUUGCAUGAUUUUGUUAUAUGUCUCUUAGCCUAAAGUUGGAAAUGCGCAACAAAUUUUGUCACUUCUCUAUUUCCCACUGAUGAUGUUAAUUAGCCUUCAUAGAUAUCAUCCUUUCUACAAAGUGCUUCAUUUGUGUGUUAUUGUAAAGUGUAAGAAAAGUAAUUGAACAUGUUCUUUUUCCUUUCAUAGAUGACUUUUGAUGUGCAUUUUAAAAGCAGCGCUGUGAGUCGGUGACCUUGAUUCACACGGAAACUAAGGCUCCUAUAGGACCCACUUUUAGCUGGUUAGGGGUGAAGAAAAUAUCAACUUUUCAGAGUGAUUUAAGUCAAGGCCAAGCCUCACUGUGUCAUUACUCGUGUGAAUUUUAUAUGCACAUACAUACAUAAAUAAAGUAUGAGACCCAAAUAACACCUUCCCUUUACAAACUUAACCCCAGCCGCUCUCUUUCAAUUCUUUUCACACAAGGGUAUUGACUCUAUAAAGGUCAAGAAAAUCAUAAUUUCCUAGGGUUUACAAGGUAAUUGGCUUAAUGCUAAUGUGAAAACAUAAAAGAUAAUAGUAUAUUGUAAGCUAACGAAUAUUCUAUAGUUAUAAUUAUUUGUGAUGUGCAUAAAUAAAUCUUCAUAUAUAUAAUGGAACAAUGAAUAAAGAACCAAUGAAAAAAUACUAUAUAUCAUUGCUUGGCAUUUAAACCGUAUAUGCUGCUCUUUCUAGCUACUCCAUCCACUGAAAGACAACAAGGUAAUCCAUGUUAUAAUGAUAGAAGAUACUGUCUCUAGGCUUUUUGUGAUGAAAAAUAUAAGAUAUGGGUAGGGUUGACCCUUGUAUGUUUGUCCUAUAAACACUUCAAAGUAACAUAUUUUUCUUCUUUAGCAACUCAUAAUGAUGGGGUUCAUUUGCAUGUCACUGAGUUGAAAAGUUGGACAAUUGCCCAUGUCGCCUUCCUCCUAGAUUCCGUAGUUCACGGGAAGGUAACUCAAGUUUGACAUAUUUUGAAUUCUUUUCACUCGGACGUCUUCAUAACCUGACAAAACAAAAAUGAAAAACAGAGGAUUGGUAUAUUAUUCAUGGUAAGCCUCAAAUUAUAGUAGUAUGAGAAAGGAGAAAAAGAUUUUGGGAACUCCAAUCUGGAUAAUUCUCGUUUCUUCUCUUGAAUAAAAAUUUCACUUACCUAACUUCGUUUGGAGAAAUGGCAUAUUUUAAUUUUGUACGUCAUUGCUAAUAAAUGGAGCAAUUUAGCAUGUUUUGUGACUGAAACUGCAAAUGUCCAAUUGGCAUUUCUUCAUUUCCCACUUAGGAUCUGAUCUUGUAGACCAUAUAACGAUAUGUAUCUGUGCAAGCAUUGAAAACUAAUGUGAACUAUGAGGAGUUACAAGCCACUGGACUGUAGAGCGAGUGCCAAGAUUUAAAUCUUCAGGCUCUAUCUGGGUAAGGGGAGGAUAGCGACCUAACCUUUUACCAAAGGCUUAGAAUUUAGACUUUUGGAAAAAAAUUUCUCAUGUUUUGGCUGGAUUUCUUGUGCUUGGCGCAAAAAGGAGAUGGCCUCAAGAAAUAGCAGACUCACUUUUGUUUUCAGCCCUUAAUAAUUCUCCACUGCUUUCCAUAACUACAUGGGUUAUACAUGCAGUCUGCUGCAAUAUUCCAGUUAUAUUUAUUAUUUCAAAGAGGGUGAAUGACUUCACAUGCAAUAUGUUGCAGUAACAACCCAAAUUUUGGCACACCAUCUUAAGAAUAGAAAAGUAUAAUAAAAGAAAUCAAUCAGAGAAUCACUUUGCAUGCAGUUCAUAGAGUUCGCCCAAAAUGGAGCCACAUGUACGGACAACCCCACAAUAGACAAUCUUCUCUAUACAGUAAUAAAAUACAGAAAUGGUUAAUGAAGCUCUGUAUUUCCUUAUCAUAUAUGACCGGUUGAAAACUCAGCAAGUCUUCCUCAAUCACAGACAGUUGGAGUUGCUUCAUCAAAAUCAUGCCUUCAUUACUGGCUUCAUUUUGGUUUCAAUGUCUGUUCUACCCUUAAAUUGGGUCUCUGCUUACUACCGGGAUAUCCUUUAGCGUCCUGCAAUUCUACUAGAUUAAAGAGAAUGACUUAAUUCUGCAUUCUGCCGUCCCUAGUCCAAGUGGUACUAGAAUUGAUGUUUCCUUUAGUGUCCUUUCUUCAUACUUUCAGGUUCUUCCCUUGUUUCAAUAAUGCUGUUUUCCUUCAUGUUUAACCUCUGUUGAACCACUUAAAACAACACAAUUUGCACACCAAUGUUUCUUUACAGAAAAGACUGUUUGCAAAAAUGCACAUGUUAUAAGGUUAAUGGAAGAAUUAAUUUGGGGAUAAGGGACUAGGAUUGGGCCAAUGAAGUUUGGUGUUAAAUUUUGAUUAUGAUUGCUUUUCAUUAUCAGGUACCUUAUAUUUGCUGAUGCUAUCUGGAACUAAAUUCAAAUCAGACAUUAUCCGAUUACUAACAGGACAUAUCAUGUCCCUCUGCAGAGUUUCUAAACUAACAUGUAUCGAAAUGUGGCCCCAAAAGGAAGGCUAGGAAGAUGGAGGAUUUUGUAGGAAUCGACCAGAAUCAGAUGGAAGAGAGAUAGUCCUGUUGACUUUAAUGGUUGUGAUAGGAACAUGCAUCAUUAUAUGAGAAGUUGCAUGAAUUUAUGUAUCCUGUUAUCGUUCCUUGACGAUUUCCCAAUGCAAUUUCACUGUCCACAAGACUAACCUCUCCAUGCAGUCAAAUGAAUUGUAAUUUCUCUAUUGGUACCAGUAGUACAUUUCAUACCAAACAUAUAGUAAAUAUAAAAUAUAAAUAGAUCAAGGAAAUCUGAAUUGUAGAUAGCACUGCAAGUAACACUCAAUAUUCUCUAUAUAUAAUAAAAUAAACAGUGUCACAAUACUCAUCACCCAGUGGCAAGGGAGAAAAACCUACAAUGAGUACUCAAAUCACCAUUCUCAAACAGAAACAUAGCAGUGACUGAUACAUAGAACCUAUAUGCUCACAGGGAAAGAAUAAGAUGACCAGUGCACAGCGGGCAGCAGCUCUUAUUUUACGUACAACUCAAAUCCCAAACUAACCAAAGUCGCUCAGUUGGGAUGGGUGGGAGAUGGUGGUUUGUGGGAUGGCUUCUGGGUAGGAGCUGGUGGCUUCUGUCCCUUUGGUGGUUUGCCUAAUGAGCUUGGUGGCUUGUGCUCCGGGAGUUGUUUCUCUCCCUCGAGUAGGUUUCGAGUCUUGUCAGAUGGCUUGUGUUCUGGUGGUGGCUUCUCUCCCUGGGGUGGUUUGCCGAAUGGGCUUGGUGGCUUGUGUUCGGGGAGUGGCUUCUCUCCCUGGAGAAGGUUACGAGUUUUGUCAUAUGGCUUUUGUUCUGGUGGUGGCUUCUCUCCCUGGGGUGGUUUGCCGAAUGGGCUUGGUGGCUUGUGUUCGGGGAGUGGCUUCUCUCCCUGGAGAAGGUUACGAGUUUUGUCAGAUGGCUUGUGUUCUGGUGGUGGCUUCUCUCCCUGGGGUGGUUUGCCGAAUGGGCUUGGUGGCUUGUGUUCGGGGAGUGGCUUCUCUCCCUGGAGAAGGUUACGAGUUUUGUCAGAUGGCUUUUGUUCUGGUGGCGGCUUCUCUCCCUGGGGUGGUUUGCCAAAUGGGCUUGGUGGCUUGUGUUCGGGAACUGGCUUCUCUCCCUUGGGAGGUUCAGUUGGUGGCUGCUGUUCCGUAGGUGGUUUCUUCACCGGCGGCUUGUGCUCCGGAAGCGGCUUCUCUACCUGGAGAAGCUUACGAGUUUUGUCCGAUGGCUUGUGUUGUGGUGGUGGCUUCUCUCCCUGGGGUGGUUUGCCAAAUGGAGUUGGUGGCUUGUGUUCGGGGAGUGGCUUCUCUCCAUUGGGAGGUUUAGUUGGUGAUUGGUGUUCCGUAGGUGGUUUCUGAAGUGGGGGAUGCUUGGGGUAGUCAGCAAGAGACGAGGUAGUGAGAACCACCAGUCCCAGCAGCAACACUAGCAAGCAUGUGGAAGACAUCUUUGAGUUCAGGCUGAGAUCUGUGCAAGGAUAACAGAAUUAGGUGGCCUUUUAUAGAGGCCUGGACCCAACACCCAUAUGACACGUGUCAUGCACUCAUGGUGACACAUAAUUCUAUGGGACCAUUUGGGUCCUACAGAAGUUGCAAAGUUGGACUACUGAGGUGUGAUCACAACUUUUGUCCUUAUUGCUUUCUCUGCGGCCAUUGCACGAUUUCCUUUAGCAUCAUUUUCUUGGCUAAAUAAGCGUAUUAUAUUUGUGGCAGACCGUCCACGUGUCAUAAACAGAUAUAUUAUAAUAAUGUAGUAUGCUUUUCUCCAAUGGAACAUGACACUCUUCUAAGUCUUGUUUUAAAUAUUGUGCAGGAUUACUUUAUACGUUGCAGUUCCAAGUCAAAAUUGGUGGGCAAACGUUGGCCUUUUUUCAUUUCACCUAAGAUUAAUGCUCACCUGGGAUAGGCACUACAUGACUUAUCUGCUCUUUUACUGUAAAGUUGCUUUGUGUAUGAGAUACACCUCCCCUGCACACCCUCAACAUUCGUUGCUCUGUUUUCCUUGUGUCCAGACGAGGAUAUUAAUUGGAGGCUGACAAAACGACUGCUAGCCCAGGAUUUACAAGGUCCUGGUUUGAGGCUUCGGUGAAAGUAUUUUUGAAAAGACACACAUAGAGAUAGUGCGUUUGGUGCAAUGCAGCACUGUGAGCCAUUCUGACGCGUUCUUAAUUUCAAAACUAAUGAAUGCUUCAAAAUUUUAAGAAGUGACAUUUCCAAAUAUUUGAGUUCGUUUAAUUGAACAUUGGAUAACUAGUGAUCAUAGAUUAUUAUCUGUGCUUGGCACUAUAAGAGGGUAUAUGCUUCUUUUUCUGGCCCCUCCUUCAAGGGAGGAGGGACAAUGUGAUCUGUAACGUUAGAAGCUAUUCCAUGUCAUCUUUGGGCUCAGUUCAAAACUAAAAGAUAAUGGGGGGGGGGGGGGGGGGCAUAUCAUUUUAUAUUUCUUCUAGAAGGUUUGUUCUGGAAAUAUUUCACAGGAGCAUAUCUUUUUCUUCUAUUACGUCAUCCGCAGCCUCCAAUAGGUCGGUUAACAAGCCACCGAGUUGAAAAGUUGGAAAAAUGGGAACACAGCCCGCCUCUUGUAUUCAGUAGUUAAAUAAAAGGUCACUAGAAGUGAGAUCCCUUUUGGCGUCUUGAUUUUCAAUCCAGCACCUCUGUGACCUGACAAACCAAAAAAACUAAAAAAUAAAAAACAGUACGUGGGUUGGUGUUAAGCAUCAAGACAUGUUAAUGAAAGAAGGUAGAGAAUAGGAUAUUGAAAUCCCAAUCCUGAUAACAUGAUUUUCUUUGCUAACAACCAUAUUAUAUUUUAUCAAGAAAGAGUAAUGCAUGUGGCGUCCAUCAAGACCCAUUAGAGUUCCGCUAAAGCUAUAGUUCUGUCAACGUUAUCAUUUACGUUUCCUCUAGAUAAUGGCAUUUUCCUCUAAAGCUCUUGCACCAUUAGGCUUCAAGUCAAAAUUUCACAUGUGAACUUUGGAAAUUUUCUCCAUUUGCCCCUAAGGAUACAGUUAGAAUUGACUUAAAAUCCUGAUUGAUAUGUACUAUUAACCAAAGAAUAUUGUAUAUAAUAAUUGAAAUAUUGUUGAUUCAUCGUGGAAAUACAUUUUGUAAGGAAAGUUGUUGAGAAUUUAGUAUGCUAUAUGGAGAAAAAAGUCAUGACUUAAGGUUGUGUAUGUAUAUUCUAUAUCAAAUAUUAGGUAGGAAUGUGGGAAAGAGCAGAGUGUAAUGAUAAGAAACAAAGAAAUAUAAGAUAUUCUUGAAAGUGGAAAAUAUAAAAUGGCUAACGAGUCAAAUUUAUGAUGCGUAAGGGGGAUCAUGUCACAUAAGAAAACCAUGGCAUACUAAAGACGUACGUGUGGUAUGGAGUAAUAAUUUUGUUAAAAUAAGUUUCUUGUUGGAGUACAUUAGGUGACUAUUCAUAACGUAUCAAAUUAAAGAGUCAAGUGCAUCAAUGAAGGCAUAUGUAGAAAAUUUGUUUGUGACAUGUACCAUAAAGAUAAGAUUGACUUGAUAGAAUUUAGUCUAAGUAGGAGUUGUUAAAGGUGUCUUAAAUUUCUAAUUGAUGUAUAUUUUUUUCUAAAAAAAUAUUAUAUAGAUAUUUUAAUAAAUGAUUAAUUCUUUGUAAAAAUACUUACAUAAUAAAAAACAUCAUUAAAAAUAUCUUUAUAAAUAUUUUAAGUUACAAGAAGGAAAAAAACCACUGUGAGAUAAUGAUGAACAUGCAACACUGUACCAAGUAAAUAAAAAUGUGAUAAAAAAAAAAGAGAAACACUCGAUAAAGGAAGGCUCGUAUAUAAAGAGUAAUAUUUUUAAUCAUAUGAUAGAAUGAUUUUCUCUCAUUCAUGAAUAUAGGCAAGAUUGGGGAACCAUUAUAAAAUUUUGUACACCUCGUGUAAAUUGAUGUUUGUCUUCAUAUUUUACACCAACAAAUGACAUUGAAGUUGUCAUUGAUAAAAGGGAAAAGGCAUGCCUCCACACCAUGUGCUUGAUUCGAAUGGUUCAAGUUUGAAGAAUUUUCUCCGGAAGAUCUAAAACAUUUUCGCCUUUAAAUUUCAUUUGAUUAUUAAUAUCCGAAAAAAUAGUUAAAUACUCUUUCUAUUUUUGAGUUGUUGAAUUUUUUGAAAGUUUUUAUAUUUGUUAUCAAGAAUUUCUAUUUUAUUAAGGGUGAAUAUUUAUAAAUAAGAUAUUAUAUAAUAUUUGGAUAAGAGAGAAUGGUGGAAUAUAAUAAAGUUUUAAUCCUUCCCAAUUUUGAACCUUUUUUUUUUUUUUUGAUAUAAUCGCCUUUCUCUUGCAAUCCUAUUAUCAGGUACCUUAUAUUUGCUGAUGCUAUCUGGAACUAAAUUCCAAUCAGGCAUUGUCCAAUUACUAAUAGGACAGAUCAUAUCUCUCUGUUUCUAAACUAACAUGUAUCGUAAUGUGACCUCAUAAGGAAGGCUAGGAAGAUGGAGGAUUUUGUGGGAAGCGACCAGAAUCAGAUGGAAGAGAGAUAGCCCUGUUGACCUAAUGGCUGUAAUAGGAGAAGCGUGUGGUUUUAUGGGACUUAACUGAUACUAAACCUGUAUGAUGCUUGGAGUGGUGUUUCUUUCAUUUUGUUAAGAAAAUAUGGCAGCAUACAUGCUUUCAACUGAGUGCAUCAGAGCAUCCAUAACAGAUGGUCUGCAACCCUAGGUGCAUGCCACUUUCUGACUGAUAAUGAAAUUGUCAGGUACCUGGCCUUGACUAAGCUCAACAGCAUCACAUAAAGAGAAGCUUUCAUACUUAGAUUACUGUUUAAAGUUUUUGCUUAUUUGAUUUCUUAAUGCCAUUAUGACAUUAUUGAUUCAAUUCUGCUUCCGAUUUUCGAAGUUCUGGGCAUCUACUGAUUGCAUCAUUAUAUGAGAAGUUGCAUGAGUUUAUGUAUCCUGUUAUUGUUCCUUUGCGAUUUCACUGCUCACGGGACUAACCUCUCCAUUCAGUCGAAAUGAAUUGUAAUUUCUUUACUGGUAGCAGUAGUACUUUUCAUAGCAAAGAUAAUAGAAAAUAUGAAAUAUAAAUAGAAGGAAAUCUGGAUUGUAGAUAGCACCAUAAGUAACACUCAAUAUUCACUACAUAAUAAAUAGACAGUGUUACAUAGGUAGAGAAACCUACAAUGAGUACUCAUCACCAUUCUCAAACAGAAACAUAGCAGCGACUUAUACAUAGAACCUAUAGGCUCGCAGGGAAAGAGUAACAUGAUAAGUUCACAGCGGGUAGCAGCUCUUAUUUUACGUAUUACUCAAAAUCUCAAACUAACCAAAGUCACUCAGUUGGGAUGGGUAGGAGAUGGUGGUUUGUGGGGUGGCUUCUGGGUAGGAGCUGGUGGCUUCUUUGUUGGAGUUGAAGGAGGCAUAUUCUUCUGAGGUGGCUUGUAUGACUCUUCGGCACUCUCUGCAGGAGGGUGCCCAGGGUUGUGACCAGAAGGAGGUGGCUUCUGUCCCUUUGGUGGUUUGCCUAAUGGGCUUGGUGGCUUGUGCUCCGGGAGUUGUUUCUCUCCCUCGAGUAGGUUUCGAGUUUUGUCAGAUGGCUUGUGUUCUGGUGGUGGCUUCUCUCCCUGGGGUGGUUUGCCGAAUGGGCUUGGUGGCUUGUGUUCGGGGAGUGGCUUCUCUCCCUGGAGAAGGUUACGAGUUUUGUCAGAUGGCUUUUGUUCUGGUGGCGGCUUCUCUCCCUGGGGUGGUUUGCCAAAUGGGCUUGGUGGCUUGUGUUCGGGAACUGGCUUCUCUCCCUUGGGAGGUUCAUUUGGUGGCUGGUGUUCCGUAGGUGGUUCCUUCACCGGCGGCUUGUGCUCCGGAAGCGGCUUCUCUACCUGGAGAAGCUUACGAGUUUUGUCAGAUGGCUUGUGUUGUGGUGGUGGCUUCUCUCCCGGGGGUGGUUUGCCAAAUGGACUUGGUGGCUUGUGUUCGGGGAGUGGCUUCUCUCCAUGGGGAGGUUUAGUUGGUGGUUGGUGUUGCGUAGGUGGUUUCUGAAGUGGGGGAUGCUUGGGGUAGUCAGCAAUAGACGAGGUAGUGAGAACCACCAGUCCCAACAGCAACACUAGCAAGGAUGUUGAAGACAUCUUUGAGUUCAGGCUGAGAUCUGUGCAAGGAUAAAAGAUUUAGGUGGCCUUUUAUAGAGGGCUGGACCCAACACCCAUAUGACACGUGUCAUGCACUCAUGGUGACACAUAAUUCUAUGGGACCAUUUGGGUCCUACAGAAGUUGCAAAGUUGGACUAUUGAGGUGUGAUCACAACUUUUGUCCUACUUGCUUUCUCUGCGGCCAUUGCACGAUUUCCUUUAGCAUCAUUUUCUUGUCUAAAUAAGCGUAUUAUAUUUGUGGCAGACCGUCCACGUGUCAUAAACAGAUAUAUUAUAAUAAUGUAGUAUGCUUUUCUUCAACGGAACUUGACACUCUUCUAAGUCUUGUUUUAAAUACUGUGCAGGAUUACGUCAUAAGUUGCUUGUUCCAAGUCAAAAUUGGUGGGCAAACGUUGGCCUUUUUUCAUUUUCCCUAAUAUUAAUGCUCACCUGGGAUAGGCACUACAUGAUUUAUCUGCUCUUUUACUGUGAAGUUGCUUUGUGCAUGAGUUACACCUCCCCUGCACACCCUCAACAUUUGUUGCUCUGUUUUUCUUGUGUCCAGACGAGGAUAUUAAUUGGAGGCUGACAAAACGACUGCUAGCCAAGGAUUUACAAGGUCCUGGUUUGAGGCUUUCACGAAAGUAUUUUUGAAAAGAUACACAUAGAGAUUGCGCGUUCGGUGCAAUGCAACAAUGUGAGCCAUUCUGAAGUCUUAAAUUUCAGAUUAAUGAAUGCUACAAAAUUCUAAGAAGGGCCGUUUCCAAAUAUUUGAGUUCAUUCAUCCGAACAUCGGGUAUAUGCUUCUUUCUCUAGCCCCUCCUUGAAGGGAGGAGGGACAAUGUGAUCUGUAUCGUUAGAAGCUAUUCCAUGUCGUCAUCUUUGGGCUCAGUUCAAUACUAAAAGAUAUGGGCGGGGCCCUUAUCAUUUUAUAUUUCUUCUAGAAGGUUUAUUCUGGAAAUCUUUCACAGAAACAUAUCUUUUUCUUCUCUACGUGAUCCGUGGUUUGAAAGUUGGAAAAAUGGGUCCGUUAACAAGCCACCGAGUUGAAAAGUUGGAAAAAUGGCAACACCGCCAACCUCUUGUAUUCGAUAGUUAAAUAAAAGGUCACUGGAAGUGAGAUCCCUUUUGGCCUCUUGAUUUUCAUUCCAGCAUCUCUAUGGCCUGAUAAAUUAAAAAACUAAAAAAAAAGACAGUACGUGGGUUGGUGUUAAGCAUCAAGAGUCAAGACAUGAUAAUGGAGAGAAAGGAUAUUCAAAUUCCAGUUCUGACAACAUGAUUUUCUUUGCUGAACUACCAUAUUAUAUUUGAUCAAGAAAGAGUAGUGCAUGUGGCCAGGAUCAAGACAUACAUUAAUUUCCACAUGAUGAAGACAGUUUCUGAGAGUUUCUUCUAAAGCUCUUGCGCGAGUAGGCUUCAAGUCAAAAUCUCCCAUGUAAACACUGGUUUUUCUUUCAUUGCCACUAAGGAUGCAGUUAAUAUUGACUUAAGAUCCUACGUGAUAUAUUUUUUUAAAAGAGCUAUAUUGUAGAUAAUAUUUGAAAUAAUGUUGAUUCGUUGUGGAAAUAUAUUUGUAAGGAAAGUUGUUGACAAUUUAAUAUAGUAUAAGAAGAAAAAAGUUAUCAACUAGCUAGAGAUGAGUAUGUAAAGUGAGGCUCACGAUUCAACGCGUAAAUAUAAGAUAUUUUAAGGCUCAAUAGUUAUGAUAUCUAUUUUAUUUUUUGUAUCUCAUAUAUUCAAAGAUAUAGUAAAAUGAUUUUACAUAUAUAUAUAUAUAUAUAUAUGAACAUAACUAUUUGUGCCAAUUGAUUUUUAUCUUUAUUUUGUAUAUUAGUAAUUAUAUUAAAGUUUUUACUAAUAUAAUAACUAAUAUAAAAGCUUUUUCUAAAAGAGUCAACAGAGCAAAACACUUAUUAUAAAAAAUAAUUUUGAUUGAAGGUGGAGUCAAUUAUUCUUUAUUUAACAUGUAAUGCAUACGGCGUGUACUUCAUAACUAAAGUAUAUAAGUGUAACAUCUCUUAUAUAUUCUCAUUCAAUCUCGAAAGUGGAAAUUUUAAAAAGAUUAAACGGUUCAAAUUUGUCGUGCAUAAAGGGGAUCAUGUCACAUAAGCAAACCAUGGCAUACCAAAGACAUAGGUAUGGACUAAGAAUUUUUUUCAAAUAAGUUUCUUAUUAGGGUACAUUAAUAGGUGACUUUUUAUGACAUAUCAAAGGAGUCAAGUGCACCAAUAAAAACAUAUAUAGAAAAUUCAUGCAUGACAUGUAUCACUAAGAGAAGAUUGACUUGAUAGAGUUUAAUCCAAAUAGGAGAUUGUUAAAAGGUGUCUCAAAUUCUUGAUUGAUAUAUAUUUUUUUUAUUAAAAAGGUUAUUAUAUAGAUAUUUCAAUAGACUAUUAAUUCUUUGUAAAAAUAGUUAUAUAAUGAGGAUGGUGAUUAAAAAUAUCUCUAUCAAUAUUUUGGAUUAUAAAAAGAAAAAAAAUGAGAUAAUGAUAAACAUAUAAAACUUGUACAAGUAGAUAAAGAUGUGAUGAAAGACACUUGAUGAAUGAAGGCUUUGUAUUUCAAGAUAUAAAUAUAUGGAGCAAAACUCUUAAUUAUAUGAUCAAAUGAUUCUCUCAUAUUCAUGAAUAUAAGCAGGAUUGGGGAACCAUGAUAGAAUCUUAUAUGCCUCUCCAUGUAGAGUGAUCGAUGUUUAUCUUCAUAUUUUACACCAGUGAAUGACAUUGAAACUCUUAUUGAUAAAAGGGAAAAGGCAUGGCCUCCACCCCAAGAAAAACAAGUAACCUCGGUUUAAAUCACUAGUCUACACCCCGAAGAGAGAACUAGCCAAACCUACUAAAAGAGAAACUUAACAAUUUAGAAAGAAACCGUCCAUGAUAAAGGGCCCCUAAAGGUCCAAUUCAGUGAGGUCGUGAACAAAAACACUUUCAUGUCAAAACAGAGAUAGGUACCACCAAAAUGUAAAGGGAAAGAUGUAAACCACGUCGAACUUUGGUAAUCAAUGGUAAAGAUAGCAUGAUAGCUAAAAGCACUAAAGCUGUGCUUGGUAUGCAAAAAUGAAAAGUGGAAAUCAGCGUCUUAUUCUUUUUCACCUUUAUUCACAUAUUAGGAUAACUAAUAUCUAAUGUUUUUUAUGUCUCAAAUUCUAUUCCAUGUUAUGGUAAACUUUCAUCUUGUUUAGAUCACUUUUGUCUGGUUUGGGCUCAAGACGAUAAGCCUAUAGAGACUUCAUAUUGGGUUGAAUCGAUGCCCUUGAUCUGAUCUGUUCGUUAGAAAAAUCUGAAUUAUUAUAAGCAUUUAGAUAAAAAAUAAAUAAAUGUGAAACACAAACUACUCCCUGCACAACCUUGACCCUAGUUACUCAGUUUCACUGCUCACAGGACUAACCUCUCCAUUCAGUCGAAAUGAAUUGUAACAAGAAGAUUUUUGACAGGAGGACGGUAGUUUAAAAUAAUAAUUUCUAAAGUACUUUUGUGAAAAAAAAUAAUUCCAAACGUGGAUUUUAUCAAGUAAAAAGAAAAAAAAAAGUUAUUUUCUUUUAAAAUCUGUUCUUCUAAAGAUGAUAUAUAUACCAAAAAAAAAAAUUGUUUUCUGAAGGUAAAAUUUUUAAAAUUCAUUUUUAAAAAAAUUUACACACUAAAAUUAUCUUUUCAAGAGAAGAUUUUUUUAAUUUUAAAUAAUUAUUAAUUUAUAAUUAAUUUGUUAUUAAUUAUUUAUUAAUUUUUUUAUUUGAAAAAUGCAUUUAUAAAAAACAAAUUUGUUAUUAAUUUAUUAAAUAAUUUUUACAAAAUAAAUAAUUUUUUUUUAUUUUAAUUUUAAAAUUAAUUUUAUUAUAUAAAUUUUAAAAUUAAAAAUAUUAAUAUUUAAUUUAAAAUUUAACUAUAAAAGGAAUAAAAUAUAGAAAAAUAAAUUAAUUUAUUAUUCAAUAAAUUAAUUUUCAAUAAAAUUUUCAGCAUUAAGAGAUAAAUUUUUAAGUAUUAAUCAAUUUAAAAAGAAAUAAUGAUCAUUUGUAUAUUAAGAUAUUUUAUUUAGUAAUUAUGAAUGAUAAACAACUAAAGUAAUUUGAAAAAAUAAUAAAAUAUUUAAAAAAUAAUAAUUUAAUACACGUAAAAUUAGAAAUGAUUAACUAUUUUUUAUUAAGAAAAAAUUGAGGAAAUAUUUUGUUAUUUAAAAUUUUUUAUUUGUUUUCAAUUUUUAAUGUUAUAGGUUUCAAGAAAAUUGAUCAAAUAAAAAUUAAGAAGUCAUUUUUUCAAAAACUAUAUAUCUAAAUAAAAGCCUUGAAAUUCAAAUACACAAUAUCAUAAAUAUAAACACCAAGUCAAUCCUUAAUUAUCAAAUGUUUUUAAUAUUAAAGAAUCAAAAUCACCUACUAUCAUGAUAAUAAGAAAACCAAUAAUAUUGUUCAUAUAAAUACUAAAAAGCUAACAAAUAUCCCAAACAAUUAAUAAAGUAUCAAACAUGAUAAAAAGUCAAUUAUUAUCAUGAAUGCAAAAAAUCAAUAAUUUUGUUUAUAUGAACCAUCAACAAAGAAAAAAAAAAUCAAUAUCUAAAUAUUAAACAUAAUUUAUAUUUUUAUAAAUAUUAUUGUUGAUAAAUAUCUUAACAAUUAUAAUUUUAGUAAAUAAAAUUAAUUAAUUUUAGUUUAAGAAUUAUUUUUUUAUACUUUCGUAUUCUUAUCAAAAAUCCCCAUUUUGCAUGUCUCCUUUGGCAUGACUUUCUUACCUAAACAAGCAUAUAUAUAUAUAUAUAUAUAUAAAAUAUUUGGUUAAGAAAGAGUACUAAAGUUUAUAUGGCACACAUCAAGAUAGAAACAGAAGUGGAAGAUAAUCCAAAUGUAUGAACAGAUAUAUUAUAUCCAUGUAGUGGUAGUGACUUCAUUAUUUACUUUUAUCUAAUGGAGCAUGACACACUUCUUCUGAAUAUUUUGCACGAUUAUGUUAUGUGUCAGCUUGUUCUAAGUCAAAACUAGUGAUAAAAAUCGGUUUUUUUUGCAUUUCCUUCAUGAAGAUGGCACCUGGAUGGGGCACUACAUGAGUGGCAUAGCACGAAGUGAUUUAUCUGCUCCCUUUACUAUAAAGUGCUUUGUGUAUAAGUUACACCUCCCCUGCACUGCCUCAACAUUUGUUGUUCUGUCUUCCGUCUGUCCAAACGAGGACAAACGUAUGUUGUAGGUUGACAAAACCACAGCUAGCCUAGGAUUUGCAAGGAUCUAGUUUGAUUCGUAUGCAAAAGGAUUGGUGAAAAGAUUCACAAAGAUAAUGCUUUUUGCAAUGCAAUCUUGUUCUAAUUCAACAGUGUGGACCAUUUUCAUGUAAUGCUUCAACUAGAUGUCAGUUUCAUGAAUUUUUGUUCAUCUAAUUGAUCACUGGAUAGGCCAUAACCCGAAGAAAUUCAAAAUUCCCUUCAGUACUGUAGCUAAGGAAAGAUCCCUAUCUACCACUGGGAUUUUAAGAGGGUAAAAAUGUAGGUGGGUGCCUAUAUCAUUUGCACUUCACUAUAGGCCUCUUUGGGAAGAUUUCUUCUGAAGACAUUUCAAAGAAACAUAUUUUUCUCUUCUCUCCGUAAACGGCAGCUGCAAGUCAGUCCAUUCACAGGCCACCGAGUUGAAAAGGCUGGAAAAUUGGCCAAAGCACCCGCCUCCUGGAUUCCAUGGGUAAGGAAAAGGUCACUGGAGGUGUGAUCCCUGUUGGCCUCUUGAUUUCCAUUCCGCCAUCUAUAUGACCUGAUAACCCAAAAACACAGAAGGAAAACGUCACCUGGGUUCAUAGUAAGCAUCAAGUCAUGAUAGAGACCAGACAACAUGACCAACAAAGAGUAGCGAAUGGGGCCAACAUCAAGCCCCAUUACGGUUAGAAGAUGGAAGAAGUAGAAGACAAUCCAAUUCUGAUAGAUUCGGGCAAAUGUAGUGCUGUUCAAACUUAAUCAUUUACUAUUUCUUCAUGAAUCACGGCAUUUUUCUUCUGAAAAUUUUCCAAGAUUAGGCCUCUGAAGAAAAAUUUCAUAUGUAAAUUGGUAUAUUAAGGAAAAGGCGUUACAAAGGUGAAAAAAAACCAAUCAAAUCUUAUAUAUGACAUCUCAAAAAUAUGAACUUGCUAUAAAUAUUUAAAAUCAAAAUCUUGCACAUCACCUCGUAGUACGAACUUGCUAUAAAACUUGAAAAUCAAGAAGAAAGGGGCAGUAUUGGACGAGACUACUUAGCACAUAUUAUUAUGAUGUUUUUUCAUUUUCUUAAUGUUGUUUUUAUGUCUUAAAUUCUAUUAUUCUAUGUUACGGUAAACAUUCAUCUUGUUUGUGUGGAAUAGGAUCACUUUUCUCUGGGUUGAGUCGAUGCCCUUAGUUAAUUUGUUCAUUUGAAUAAACUAAAUUAUUAUAAGUAUUUAGAUAAGAAAAACGUGAUACAUAAAUUACGCCUCUCGGCACAACUUCAACACUGGUUACUCUGUUUCAGUUUCCUCACACAAGAUUAUUGGUUCUAGGGUUUAUUUGGUUUUGGUUUGAUUCUAAUUGCUAAACUUUCUCAAGGAAGAUGUUAUAUAGGGAGUGAGAAACCUUCACUCUUGGCUACCUCCAAGAGAAGAGCAAGUGGUCUGAAUCAAAGAUAUACUGCUCACUUUUUCUUCUUCUAAGGACAGCUAUGACCUUGCUUUAAGGUUCGAAUAGCCUAAUGCAACCUCCCAUUUCUCAAGUCAGCUGAUGAUGUAAGUCACCUUGGCUUUCCACAUUCAUACGGUGAGGACGUUUGUGGGUGUAAUUCUCUUAACAGUUUUCAUUUUAUAUGGAAAAAUUCAUAAUUAAGGGUAAUUACUGAUUCCAUUUGACAGUGACCAAGUUUAAAAUAUUAAUUCAUAUAUUAAAUGCACAUUAAAAAAUCAUGGAAUAAAUAUAUUUACUAAUAUAUAGUUCUUUUGCCAUGUUCUGUCACAGAAGCAUCGAACUUUCCCUAGAAAUUUUUGCAUGGUAUUCUACUUAUGAUUUUGAAAACUCUAGGCACCUGAGGCCACUAAUUGCAUGGUUGGAUGAGGAGCUGCAUGAGAUUAUGUAUCGUGUUGUUCCUUAACUACAAAUAUCAGUUUUAAGUAGCAUCUCCAUGUGACAUUUUCCUGAUGCAAUUUCGCUGUCCACCAACAAAUUUCACCAUGCAGCAAGAUGAAUUGUAAUUUCUUUAUUGUUAUCAACAGCUUUAAUUAAUCUUGAUAUAUAUAUAUAACUUAGUAGAAGUAUAUUAAUCUAGAUUGUAGUUGCACUAAGAUAAUAGGCAAUAUUAUAACAGUGCCACAAUGCUCAUCGCCAAAUAGAAAGGUAGAAAAACUACAAUGAGUAACUCACAACAUUCUCAAACAGGACAUAGCGGCGACUGAUACAUAGAACACUAUUGGCACUCAGGAAAUGAUAAGAUCAGUGCCCAGCAGGCAGCACGUCUUAUUUUACAUACUACUUAAAACUAACCAAAGUCAUUCAGUUGGGAUGGGUGGGAGAUGGUGGUUUGUGCGGUGGCUUUUGGGUAGUUGGUGGCUUCUUUCCUGGAACUGAUGGUUUUUUUGUUGGAGUUGAAGGAGGCUUAAUCGUCUGAGGUGGCUUGUAUGAGUCUUCAGCACUCUCUGCGGGAGGGUGCCCAGGGUUGUGACCAUAAUGGGGUGGCUUCUCUCCCUUAGUUGGUUUGCCAAGUGGGCUGGCUGGCUUGUGCUCCGGGAGCGGCUUCUCUCCCUUAGGUGGUUUGCCAAAUGGGCUUGCUGGCUUGUGCUCUGGGAGCGGCUUCUCUCCCUCAAGAAGUUUACGGGUUUUGUCAGAUGGCUUGUGUUCUGGUGGUGGCUUCUCUCCUUGGGGUGGUUUGCCAAAUGGACUUGGUGGCUUGUGUUCGGGGAGUGGCUCCUCUCCCUUGGGAGGUUUAGUUGGUGGCUGGUGUUCCAUAGGUGGUUUCUCAACCGGGGGCUUGUUCUCCGUUGGUGGUUUAUGAACUGGGGGAUGCUUGGGGUAGUCAGCAAGAGACGGGGUGGUGAGAACCACCAGUCCCAGCAGCAACACUAGCAAGUAUGUGGAAGAGUACAUCUUUGAGUUCAGGCUGAGAUUUGUGCGAGACUUGAAGAAUUAGGUGGCCUUUUAUAGCUGGCUGCACCCAACACUCACAUGACACGUAUCAUGGUGACACAUGUGCUAUGGGUCCAUUUGGGUCCUACAGAAGCUGAAAACUUUUGACUAUUGAGGUGUGGUCACAACUUUUGUCCCUAUUGCUUUCUCCGCAACCGUUUUACAUGUUUCCUUUGGCAUAAUUUUCUAAGCUAAACAAGCAUAUAUCAUAUUUGGUUAAGAAAGAGUAAAGUGUAUAUGGCACACAUCAAGGAAGAGAAACAGAAAAAGUGGGAGACAAUCAAUUGUGAUAAACAGAUAUAUUAUAUUCAUGUAGUACUAGUGACUUUAUCAUUUACUUUUAUCCAAUAGAUCAUCACUCUUUCUUCUAAAUAUUUUGGAGGAUAAUGGUACAUGUUGCUUGUUUCCAAGUCAAAAUUGGUGGCAAAAAUCGGCAUGAUACGAAAGGAUUGGUGAAAAGAUUCACAUAGAUGGUGCUUUGUGCAAUGCAGUCUUGCUCUAAUUCAACAGAGUGGACCAUGGUGAUGUAUUUUAAAUUUUAAAUUUUAAAUUAAUGCAUGCUUCAAAGUUUUAACUAGAUGUCACUUCCAUGGAUUUUUGUUCAUUUAAUUGAGCACAGGAUAGGCUAUCAAACUUGAAGUAAUAUAAAAAUCCCUUCAUUACUGUAACUAAUGAAAGAUCAUUAUCUGCGCUUGGUAUUUUGCCAAGGUAUUUGCUGCUCUUUCUAGCCCUGUCUUACAGUUAAGGACAAUGUGAUCUAGUUAACCUUAGAAGCUAUUCCAUGUCAGAUACAAGAGAUCAAGCACAUUAUCUUUGGGCUCAGUUCAAAACUAUAAUAUAUGGGUGGGGUGGAGGCCCAUAUCAUUUGCAUAUCACCACUAUUGGUUUAGUUUGGAAGGUUUCUUCUGGAAGAUUGCUGCUUUCUGGAAUCAUUUCAAAGAAAUAUAUCUUUUUGUUCUCUUGGUGACGAGCAGCGGCAAUCAAGUCUGUUGACAAACAACCGAGUUGAAAAGUUUGAAAAUUGGUCACAGCCCACGUCCAUGGUUAAGGAAAAGGUCACUGGAAGUGAUCCCUUCUGGGCCUCUUGAUUUCCAUUCUGACAUCUAUAUGACCUGAUAAAUAGAAAGAAAAAAAAACAGAAGAAAAGCGGCACCCGGGUUCAUAGUAAGCAUCAAGACAGGAUACUGAAAGAAGGGAGAAAGGAGAUUGCAAGUCCAAUCCUGAUAAAAUGAUCAACAAAGAGUAUCAAAAUGGGGCCAACAUAAAGACCCAUUGAGGUUAGCAGAUGGCAUGGCAUUUUUCUCCUUAAGUUUUCCAUGAUUAGACUUGAAGUCAAAAUUUCACAUGUAAAUUUGUAUUUCUACAUUUCCCACUGACGACACCCAACUUCAACUUGAGUUAGAAUAACAUUGUGUGAACUUAUCUGGCCCUCAAAAUUUACUGUGAAGUGCUUUCUGCGUGUGAAGAUUCAGAAAAGCACCAAGGGAACAUGUAUGGUCUGCCUUUUUCUGAUGUUAUGUUUGUCUCUAAUUCUGUUCCAUGUCAUGGUAAAUGUUCACAUUGCUUGUAUGGAACACACCAGGAUCACUUUUUCGGGUUUAUUUUGAGGCUUCAUAUUGGGUUCAUAUUGGGUUCAAUGCUUUUAAUGUGUUCAUUAGACAAAUCUGAAUUAUCAUAUGCAUUUAGAUAAGAACAAUAAUGUGAAACCCUAGUUACACCUCCCCUGCAUAACCCCAACCCUGCUUACUCUAUUUCAGUUUACUCACACAAGUUUUACCGGUUCUUAUAAGUCAAGAAAAGGCAACUGAUGUUGGAUUGACUCUCUUCCAUGUAUAAAAAGCAACUUUUAUAUAUACAUAAAAUAACUUCUUCCCCUCACCAAUGUGGGAUAUCAUGGAUUUAUUCUGGAAACACAUCAAAGGAACAUCUUUUCUCUUGGGUGACCCUAAGUGGUGAGUCAGACCAUUUGCAUGCCAUUGAGUUGCACAGUUGGAUAAAUGCACCUACCUCCUGGGCUCCAGAGUUAAAAGGGUGGAUCCCUGGAUCGCAACCCUCUUGGCAUCUUGGUUUCCAUUCCAACAUCCACAUGACUUGACAAAACAAAAAACAGAAUAAAAUCAUCACUAUUUUCAUGCUAAGCACCAAUACAUGAUGGAAAUCAUUGCUUAAAGAUUUGGGGUCAUUUAGGUUUUGACUGCCUCCUAACACCUCACCUAAUCACAAGUUUUUAUGCUUACAAAUCAAAUAUCGUUCUUCAUUAUAUUAAAAUCAUUUUAAGAUUUCAGAUCCAUCUGCUAAUUAUGAUUAUGAUAACAUUAAUUCACCUGUGCUUCUCAUUUUCGACACACAAGGCAUCUAGGUUUGCAGGAUUUCCUUAUUAGAUGAGAUAAAUGAGUACGCAUGGUUAUGUAUGCAGCAUUCAUUAACCAUGGUAUGUGACAUUUAGAAUUAAGAUAGCAAGCAAACUUUCCCUGCAGCUUGAGUAAAUUGUGAUUUCUUAGCCUCUAUGAGUGGUUCCCAAAUCAAAUUAACAUAGUGAAAUAUACGUAGUCCAGUGAAAGGAAAUGUAAAUUAUAAACUAACAGCACUACACUACUGGUAACACUCGAUACUCUCUAUAUAAUGCAAUGAAAUAUACGUUAUACGUUGCUUGUUCCAAGUCAAAAUUUGUGGCCAAACGUUGGCCUUUUUUCAUUUUCCCUAAGAUUAAUGCUCACCUGGGAUAGGCACUACAUGAUUUAUCUGCUCUUUUACUGUAAAGUUGCUUUGUGUAUGAGUUACACCUCCCCUGCACACCCUCAACAUUUGUUGCUCUGUUUUCCUUGUGUCCAGACGAGGAUAUUAAGUGGGGGCUGACAAAACGACUGCUAGCCAAGGAUUUACAAGGUCCUGGUUUGACGCUUCCGCGAAAGUAUUUUUGAAAAUAUACACAUAGAGAUUGCGCGUUCGGUGCAAUGCAACAAUGUGAGCCAUUCUGAAGUUUUUAAUUUCAGAUUAAUGAAUGCUACAAAAUUCUAAGAAGGGCCGUUUCCAAAUAUUUGAGUUCAUUUAUCCGAACAUCGGAUAAGUAAUGAUCAUAGAUUAUUAUUAUUAUCUGACGUUCUUAUAAUGGUUGGCAUUAUAAGAGGGUAUAUGCUUCUUUCUCUAGCCCCUCCUUCAAGGGAGGGACAAUGUGAUCUGUAUCGUUAGAAGCUAUUCCAUGUCGUCAUCUUUUGGCUUAAGUCAAUACUAAAAUAUAUGGGCGGGGCCCCUGUCAUUUUAUAUUUCUUCUAGAAGGUUUGUUCUGGAAAUCUUUCACCGAAACAUAUCUUUUUCUUCUCUACGUGAUCCGUGGUUGGAAAGUUAGAAAAAUGGGUCCGUUCACAAGCCACCGAGUUGAAAAGUUGGAAAAAUGGCAACACCGCCAACCUCUUGUAUUCGAUAGUUAAAUAAAAGGUCACUGGAAGUGAGAUCCCUUUUGGCCUCUUGAUUUUCAUCCCAGCAUCUCUAUGUCCUGAUAAACUAAAAAACUAAAAAAAAAACAGUACGUGGGUUGGUGUUAAGCAUCAAGAGUCAAGACAUGAUAAUGGAGAGAAAGGAUAUUCAAAUUCCAGUUCUGACAACAUGAUUUUCUUUCCUGAACAACCAUGUUAUAUUUGAUCAAGAAAGAGUAGUGCAUGUGGCCAGGAUCAAGACAUACAUUAAUUUCCACAUGAUGAAGACAGUUUCUGAGAGUUUCUUCUAAAGCUCUUGCGCUAGUAGGCUUCAAGUCAAAAUUUCCCAUGUAAACACUGGAUUUUCUUUAAUUGCCACUAAGGAUACAGUUAAAAUUGACUUAAAAUCCUACGUGAUAUAUAUCUUUAACAAAAGUAUAUUGUAUAUAAUAUUUGAAAUAAUGUUGAUUCGUUGUGGAAAUAUGUUUGUAAGGAAAGUUGUUGACAAUUUAAUAUAGUAUAAGAAGAAAAAAGUUAUCAACUAGAGAUGAGUAUGUAAAGUGAGGCUCACGAUUCAACGCGUAAAUAUAAGAUAUUUUAAGGCUCAAUAGUUAUGAUAUCUAUUUUAUUUUUUGUAUCCCAUAUAUUCAAAGAUACAGUAAAAUGAUUUUAUAUAUAUGAACAUAGCCGAUAGUAUCAUGUUAAAACCUUAUAUGACUCUUUGUGCCAAUUGAUUUUUAUCUUUAUUUUGUGUAUUAGUAAUUAGUAUUAAAGUUUUUACUAACAUAAUAAUUGAUAUAAAAGCUUUUUCCAAAAGAGUCAAACAGAGCAAAACACUUAUUAUAAAAAGAAUUUUGAUUGAAGGUGGAGUCAAUUAUUCUUUAUUCAACAUGUGAUGCAUACAGCGGGUACUUCAUAACUAAAGUAUAUAAGUGCAACAUCUCUUAUACAUUCUCAUUCAAUCUCGAAAGUGGAAAAUUUUAAAAGAUUAAAUGGUUCAAAUUUUCCGUGCAUAAAGGGGAUCAUGUCACAUAACCAAACCAUGGCAUACCAAAGCCAUGAUAUGGACUAAGAAUUUUGUUAAAAUAAGUUUCUUAUUAGGGCACAUUAUGUGACUAUUUAUGACAUAUCAAAGGAGUCAAGUGCAUCAAUAAAGACAUAGAAAAUUCAUGCAUCACAUGUACCACUAAGAGAAAAUUGACUUGAUAGAGUUUAGUCCAAAUAGGAGAUUGUUAAAAGGUGCAUCAAAUUCUUGAUUGAUAUAUAUUUUUUUUAUUAGAAAGGUUAUUAUAUAGAUAUUUCAAUAGACUAUUAAUCCUUUGUAAAAAUAGUUAUAUAAUGAGGAUGGUGAUUAAAAAUAUCUCUAUCAAUAUUUUGGAUUAUAAAAAGAAAAAAAAUAUGAGAAAAUGAUAAACAUAUAAAACUUGUACAAGUAGAUAGAGAUGUGAUGAAAGACACUUGAUGAAUGGAGGCCUUGUAUUUCAAGAUGUAAAUAUAUGGAGCAAAACUCUUAAUUAUAUGAUCAAAUGAUUCUCUCAUAUUCAUGAACAUAAGCAGGAUUGGGGAACCAUGAUAGAAUCUUAUAUGCCUCUCCAUGUAGAUUGAUCGAUGUUUAUCUUCAUAUUUUACACCAAUGAAUGACAUUGAAACUCUGAUUGAUAAAAGGGAAAAAGCAUGGCCUCCACCACAAGAAAAACAAGUAACCUCGGUCUAAAUCACUAGUCUACACCCCGAAGAGAGAACUAGCCAAACCUACUAAAAGAGAAACUUACCAAUUUAGAAAGAAAUCUUCCAUGAUAAAGGGCCCCUAAAAGUCCAAUUCAGUCAGGUUGUGAACAAAAACACCUUCAUGUCAAAACAGGAAUAGGUACCACCAAAAUGUAAAGGGAAAGAUGUAAACCAAGUCGAACUUUGGUAAACAAUGGUAAAGAUAGCAUGAUAGCUAAAAGCACUAAAGCUGUGCUUGGUAUGCAAAAAUGAAAAGUGGAAAUCAGCGUCUUAUUCUUUUUCUCCUUUAUUCACAUAUUAGGAUAACUAAUAUCUAAUGUUUUUUUUAUGUCUCAAAUUCUAUUCCAUGUUAUGGUAAACUUUCAUCUUGUUUAAGUGGAAGAGUAGGAUCACUUUUGUCUGGUUUGGGCUCAAGACGAUAAGCCUAUAGAGACUUCAUAUUGGGUUGAAUUGAUGCCCUUGAUCCGAUCAGUUCGUUAGAAAAAUCUGAAUUAUUAUAAGCAUUUAGAUAAAAUAAAUAAAUAAAUGUGAAACAGAGACUAUUCUCUGCACAACCUUGACCCUAGUUACUCAGUUUCACUGCUCACGGGACUAACCUCUCCAUUCAGUCGAAAUGAAUUGUAAUUUCUUUACUGGUAGCAGUAGUACUUUUCAUAGCAAAGAUAAUAGUAAAUAUGAAAUAUAAAUAUAUAGAAGGAAAUCUGGAUUGUAGAUAGCACCAUAAGUAACACUCAAUAUUUACUACAUAAUAAAAGAGAUAGUGUUACAAAGGUAGAGAAACCUACAAUGAGUACUCAUCACCAUUCUCAAACAGAAACAUAGCAGUGACUUAUACAUAGAACCUAUAGGCUCGCAGGGAAAGAGUAACAUGAUAAGUGCACAGCGGGUAGCAGCUCUUAUUUUACGUAUUACUCAAAAUCUCAAACUAACCAAAGUCACUCAGUUGGGAUGGGUAGGAGAUGGUGGUUUGUGGGGUGGCUUCUGGGUAGGAGCUGGUGGCUUCUUUGUUGGAGUUGAAGGAGGCGUAAUCUUCUGAGGUGGCUUGUAUGAGUCUUUGGCACUCUCUGCAGGAGGGUGCCCAGGGUUGUGACCGGAAGGAGGUGGCUUCUGUCCCUUUGGUGGUUUGCCUAAUGGGCUUGGUGGCUUGUGCUCCGGGAGUUGUUUCUCUCCCUCGAGUAGGUUUCGAGUUUUGUCAGAUGGCUUGUGUUCUGGUGGUGGCUUCUCUCCCUGGGGUGGUUUGCCGAAUGGGCUUGGUGGCUUGUGUUCGGGGAGUGGCUUCUCUCCCUUGGCAGGUUCAGUUGGUGGCUGGUGCUCCGUAGGUGGUUUCUUCACCGCCGGCUUCUCUCCCUGGAGAAGGUUACGAGUUUUGUCAGAUGGCUUCUGUUCUGGUGGCGGCUUCUCUCCCUGGGGUGGUUUGCCAAAUGGGCUUGGUGGCUUGUGUUCGGGAACUGGCUUCUCUCCCUUGGCAGGUUCAGUUAGUGGCUGGUGUUCCGUAGGUGGUUUCUUCACCGGCGGCUUGUGCUCCGGAAGCGGCUUCUCUACCUGGAGAAGCUUACGAGUUUUGUCAGAUGGCUUGUGUUGUGGUGGUGGCUUCUCUCCCUGGGGUGGUUUGCCAAAUGGACUUGGUGGCUUGUGUUCGGGGAGUGGCUUCUCUCCAUUGGGAGGUUUAGUUGGUGGUUGGUGUUCCGUAGGUGGUUUCUGAAGUGGGGGAUGCUUGGGGUAGUCAGCAAGAGACGAGGUAGUGAGAACCACCAGUCCCAGCAGCAAUACUAGCAAGGAUGUGGAAGACAUCUUUGAGUUCAGGCUGAGAUUUGUGCAAGGCUAGAAGAAUUAGGUGGCCUUUUAUAGCGGGCUGGACCCAACAACCAAAUGACACGUAUCAUGAUACACAUAUGUGUUAUAAGAUCCUUGUGGGUCCUACAGAAGUUGAAAACUUUGACAAUUGAGGUGUGAUUACAACUUUUGUCCCUAUUGCUUUCUCGUCAGCCGUUUUGCAAGAUUUUUGACAGGAGGACGGUAGUUUAAAAUAAUAAUUUCUAAAGUACUUUUGUGAAAAAAAAUAAUUCCAAACGUGGAUUUUAUCAAGUAAAAAAAACAAAAAAAAGUUAUUUUCUUUUAAAAUCUUUUCUUCAUGAUUCAUAUACCAAAAAAAGAAUUGUUUUCUGUAGGUAAAAUUUUUAAAAUUCAUUUUUAAAAAAAAAAAAUUACACACUAAAAUUAUCUCUUCAAGAAAAUAUUUUUUAAAUUUUAAAUAAUUAUUAAUUUAUAAUUAAUUUUUUAUUAAUUAUUUAUUAAAUUUAUAUGUGAAAAAUGCAUUUAUAAAAAACAAAUUUUUUAUUAAUUUAUUAAAUAAUUAUUUACAAAAUAAAUAAUUUUGCUUUAUUUUAAUUUUAAAAUUAAUUUUAUUAUAUAAAUUUUAAAAUUAAAAAUAUUAAUAUUUAAUUUAAAAUUUAACUAUAAAAGGAAUAAAAUAUAGAAAAAUAAAUUAAUUUAUUAUUCAAUAAAUUAAUUUUCAAUAAAAUUUUCAGCAUUAAGAGAUAAAUUUUUAAGUAUUAAUCAAUUUAAAAAAUAAUAAUAAUCAUUUGUAUACUAAGAUAUUUUAUUUAGUAAUUAUGAAUGAUAAACAACUAAAGUAAUUUGAAAAAAUAAUAAAAUAUUUAAAAAUAAUAAUUUAAUACACUUAAAAUUAGAAAUGAUUAACUAUUUUUUAUUAAGAAAAAAUUGAAGAAAUAUUUUGUUAUUUAAAAUUUUUUAUUUGUUUUCAAUUUUAAAUGUUAUAGGUUUCAAGAAAAUUGAUCAAAUAAAAAUUAAGAAGUCAUUUUUUCAAAAACUAUAUAUCUAAAUAAAAGCCUUGAAAUUCAAAUACACAAUAUCAUAAAUAUAAACACCAAGUCAAUCCUUAAUUAUCAAAUGUUUUUAAUAUUAAAGAAUCAAAAUCACCUACUAUCAUGAUAAUAAGAAAACCAAUAAUAUUGUUCAUAUAAAUACUAAAAAGCUAACAAAUAUCCCAAACAAUUAAUAAAGUAUCAAACAUGAUAAAAAGUCAAUUAUUAUCAUGAAUGCAAAAAAUCAAUAAUUUUGUUUAUAUGAACCAUCAACAAAGAAAAAAAAAAUCAAUAUCUAAAUAUUAAACAUAAUUUAUAUUUUUAUAAAUAUUAUUGUUGAUAAAUAUCUUAAUAAUUAUAAUUUUUUAUAUAUUAAAUUUAGUAAAUAAAAUUAAUUAAUUUUAUAAUAUAAGAUAUAUAUAAUAAUUAAGAGACUAUUUGUCCCAAACAAUUUAUUUAUUUUUUUUUUAGGAAAUUGUCUCUUCAAGAGACGACUUCUCCCAACAUUUUUAAAAAAAAAAAAAAAAACAUCUAUUCAAAAGACGAUUUCUCCUCAUUUUUUAAAAAUGAAUUUUAGAAAUCAUAUUUUCAAAAAUGAAUUUUAGAAAUCAUAUUUUCAAAAGACGAUUUUUUUUUAUAUAAAUUAUUUUUUAAAAUGACGAUUUUAAAAGGAAAUAACGAUCUCUCUCCUACUUGGCAAAAACUAUGGUAAAUUUGGAAUUAUUUCUUCCACAACCAUAGUUUAAGAAUUAUUUUUUUAUACUUUCGUAGACUUAUCAAAAAUCCCUAUUUUGCAUGUCUCAUUUGGCAUGACUUUCUUACCUAAACAAGCAUAUAUAUAUAUAUAUAUAUAUAUAUCACUUUUGUCUGGGUUGAGUCAAUGCCCUUAACUAAUUUGUUCAUUUGAAUAGUCUAAAUUAUUAUAAGCUUUUAGUUAAGAAAAAUGUGAAACAUAAAUUACACCUCUCGGCACAACUUCGACACUGGUUACUCUGUUUCAGUUUAUUCACACAAGAUUAUUGGUUCUAGGGUUUAUUUGGUUUUGGUUUGAUUCUAAUUGCUAAACUUUCUCAAGGAAGAUGUUAUAUAGGGAGUGAGAAACCUUCACUCCUGGCUACCUCCAAGAGAAGAGCAAGUGGUCUGAAUCAAAGAUAUACUGCUCACUUUUUCUUCUUCUAAGGACAGCUAUGACCUUGCUUUAAAAUGUUCGAAUAGCCUAAUGCAACCUCCCAUUUCUCAAGUCAGCUGAUGAUGUAAGUCACCUUGGCUUUCCACAUUCAUACGGUGAGGACGUUUGUGGGUGUAAUUCUCUUAACAGUUUUCAUUUUAUAUGGAAAAAUUCAUAAUUAAGGGUAAUUACUGAUUCCAUUUGACAGUGACCAAGUUUAAAAUAUUAACUCAUGUAUUAAAUGCACAUUAAAAAAUCAUGGAAUAAAUAUAUUUACUAAUAUAUAGUUCUUUUGUCAUGUUCUGUCACAGAAGCAUCGAACUUUCCCUAGAAAUUUUUGCAUGGUAUUCUGCUUAUGAUUUUGAAAACUCUAGGCACCUAAGGCCACUGAUUGCAUGGUUGGAUGAGGAGCUGCAUGAGAUUAUGUAUCCUGUUGCUCCUUAACUACAAAUAUCAGUUUUAAGUAGCAUCUCCAUGUGACAUUUUCCUGAUGCAAUUUCGCUGUCCACCAACAAAUGUCUCCAUGCAGCUAGAUGAAUUGUAAUUUCUUUGUUGUUAUCAACAGCUUUAAUUAAUCUUGAUAUAUAUAUAACUUAGUAGAAGUAAUUAAUCUAGAUUGUAGUUGCACUAAGAUAAUAGGCAAUAUUAUAACAGUGCCACAAUGCUCAUCGCCAAAUAGAAAGGUAGAAAAACUACAAUGAGUAACUCACACAACAUUCUCAAACAGGACAUAGCGGCGACUGAUACAUAGAACACUAUUGGCACUCAGGAAAUGAUAAGAUCAGUGCCCAGCAGGCAGCACGUCUUAUUUUACAUACUACUUAAAACUAACCAAAGUCAUUCAGUUGGGAUGGGUGGGAGAUGGUGGUUUGUGCGGUGGCUUCUUUCCUGGAACUGGUGGUUUUUUUGUUGGAGUUGAAGGAGGCUUAAUCGUCUGAGGUGGCUUGUAUGAGUCUUCAGCACUCUCUGCAAGAGGGUGCCCAGGGUUGUGACCAUAAUGAGGUGGCUUCUCUCCCUUAGGUGGUUUGCCAAGUGGGCUGGCUGGCUUGUGCUCCGGGAGCGGCUUCUCUCCCUUAGGUGGUUUGCCAAAUGGGCUUGCUGGCUUGUGCUCUGGGAGCGGCUUCUCUCCCCCAAGAAGUUUGCGGGUUUUGUCAGAUGGCUUGUGUUCUGGUGGUGGCUUCUCUCCUUGGGGUGGUUUGCCAAAUGGACUUGGUGGCUUGUGUUCGGGGAGUGGCUCCUCUCCCUUGGGAGGUUUAGUUGGUGGCUGGUGUUCCGUAGGUGGUUUCUCAACCGGGGGCUGGUGCUCCGUAGGUGGUUUAUGAACUGGGGGAUGCUUGGGGUAGUCAGCAAGAGACGGGGUGGUGAGAACCACCAGUCCCAGCAGCAACACUAGCAAGUAUGUGGAUGACAUCUUUGAGUUCAGGCUGAGAUUUGUGCAAGACUAGAAGAAUUAGGUGGCCUUUUAUAGCUGGCUGCACCCAACACUCACAUGACACGUAUCACGGUGACACAUGUGCUAUGGGAUCCAUUUGGGUCCUACAGAAGUUGAAAACUUUUGACUAUUGAGGUGUGAUCACAACUUUUGUCCCUAUUGCUUUCUCCGCAACCGUUUUACAUGUUUCCUUUGUGGUGUUUAAUAGUGUUUUUUUCCUUAAUUCUAAAUAAACCUUAAUACUUAAUAAUGUUAAAUAUUAGGUUAUUUAUUUUUAUAAUAUUUUAUUUAUAUUAAGUAUUAAAAAGUAAAGAAAAAUCAAUAUAUUUAUUUUUCUAUUUAGAAAAAACUAUAUAUUUUUAAUUUUUUUAUUUAAUAAAAAAUUUAUAAUAAAUCAUGAAAAAAUAGAAAAACAAACAACCUAAAUUUUAAAAAUAAAUUGUUUUUAGUAAAAACCCAAAAAAACAAACACCACCUUAACUAAACAAAUAUAUAUUAUAUUUAGUUAAGAAAGAGUAAAGUGUAUAUGGCUCAAAUCAAGGAAGAGAAACAGAAUAAGUGGAAGACAAUCAAUUGUGAUAAACAGAUAUAUUACAUGCAUGUAGUACUAGUGACUUUAUCAUUUACUUUUAUACAAUAGAUCAUCACACUCUUUCUUCUAAAUAUUUUGGAGGAUAAUGGUACAUGUUGCUUGUUGCCAAGUCAAAAUUGGUGGCAAAAAUCGGCAUGAUACGAAAGGAUUGGUGAAAAGAUUCACAUAGAUGGUGCUUUGUGCAAUGCAGUCUUGCUCUAAUUCAACAGAGUGGACCAUGGUGAUGUAUUUUAAAUUUUAAAUUUUAAAUUAAUGCAUGCUUCAAAGUUUUAACUAGAUGUCACUUCCAUGGAUUUUUGUUCAUUUAAUUGAGAACAGGAUAGGCUAUCAAACUUGAAGUAAUAUAAAAAUCCCUUCAUUACUGUAACUAAUGAAAGAUCAUUAUCUGCGCUUGGUAUUUUGCCAAGGUAUUUGCUGCUCUUUCUAGCCCUAUCUUACAGUUAAGGACAAUGUGAUCUAGUUAACCUUAGAAGCUAUUCCAUGUCAUAUACAAGAGAUCAAGCACAUUAUCUUUGGGCUCAGUUCAAAACUAUAAUAUAUGGGUGGGGUGGGGGCCUAUACCAUUUGCAUAUCACCACUAUUGGUUUAGUUUGGAAGGUUUCUUCUGGAAGAUUGCUUUCUGGAAACAUUUCAAAGAAAUAUAUCUUUUUGUUCUCUUGGUGACGAGCAGCGGCAAUCAAGUCUGUUGACAAACAACCGAGUUGAAAAGUUUGAAAAUUGGUCACAGCCCACGUCCAUGGUUAAGGAAAAGGUCACUGGAAGUGAUCCCUUCUGGGCCUGUUGGAAGCAGGGGAGGUUAACACACCAAGCAACAAAGAACAGAGAUAUGCUGCUACUGAUCUAUAUUUUUUAUUUGAUCAUAAGGCUAAAUUUAUACAGAUUGUGUAACAGAUAUGACCUCAAAAAAAAGCAUCAAAUCAAGCUACUUGUUGAACAAACAACUACCUUCUACAAAAUAACAUCAAAAUUUAACUUAAAAGCAAAAACAUAAAAAUAGCAACAGCAAAAAUAGAAACAUAAAAAUAGCUUCAGCAUUCUAGUAAUCUCGUUGACUUCAAUUGCAUGUGGUUGACGAUUUCAGCCUUUUCCUCAGCAGCUACUAAGGCAUAACUCUCAACACUCCUCCUUGACUUAGGAGGUGCAAACUCCAAGUCUUUCUCAUAGAAACUCAAAUCUUAUUUUAGGAAGAGCUUUAGUCAGAAUAUCUACAUUUUGACUGUCUGUAUUGCAGUAGACUAGUUGUAUAUCUCCUUCUUUCUGUACUUCCCUCAAAAAUUACAAUUUAAUCUUGAAGUGCUUUGUUUUACCAUGAAAAACUGGAUCAUUUGCAAUAGAUAUAGUGGCCUGGUUGUCUACAAACACCUUUGUACUCACUUCUUGCUUCAUAUCCAAAUCUGUCAGCAACUUUCCAAGCCAUAAGGCUUGAUUUACAGCUGUAACAGCAGCAAUAUACUCUGCCUCAGCUGUGGAUUGAGCCACGACUUCUUGCUUCCUUGAACUCCAUGAAAAAACACCAGAACCAAAACUAAAACAAUAGCCUGAAGUACUUCUCAUAUCGUCAACACAACCAGCCCAAUCACUAUCAGAAAAUCCAUGAAAAUUGAAACUUUGAACUUGACUGAACUUAAUGCCAUAAUCCACAGUGCCUUUAACAUUUCUUAUCACACGCUUUGCUGCCUGGAAAUGAAUUUCACUAGCACAAUGCAUGUAUCUCGAAAGUAGACUUACAGCAUGCAUUAUAUCGAGUCUUGUUGCAGUCAAGUACAUUAAGCAUCCAAUCAUGCUUCGAUAAAGUCCUUCAUCUACCUUUUUAGCACCGUCCUCCUUACAGAACUUCUCUUUCUGGUUCAUAGGGGUAGAUGUAGGUUUGCAUUCCUCCAUUUUGAAUUUCUUCAUAAUUUCUUUGGCAUAUUUUUGUUGGCAGAUGAAAAUCUCAUUCUGCUUCUGGUGUACUUCCAUUCCCAAGAAGUAAGACAUCUCAUCUAGGUCUGUCAUCUCAAAAACCUGCUCCAUUUCAGCCUUGAAUUUGUUCACAAACCCUGCAUUACUUCCUGUUACAAGCAAAUCAUCAACAUAUAGAGAAACAAUUAAUAUAUCUUCUUCAAUCUUCUUAAUGUAGAGUGUAAAUUCACUCAAGCUCUUGUGAAAGCCUAAAGUUAGCAGGUGAGUGUCAAUCCUGCUGUACCAAGCUCUAGGGGCUUGUCUUAACCCAUACAAGGCCUUCUUAAGAAGGUAUACUUUUUCUUCUUUUCCUUUGAUAGCAAAACCUUCUGGUUGUUCGACAAAAAUCUCUUCCUCUAAGUAGCCAUUCAAAAAUGCUGACUUCACAUCUAGUUGAUAAAUCUUCCAUUUUCUUUGAGCUACAAGAGCCAACAACAUCCUGAUUGUAUCCAAACGAGCUACUGGUGCAAAGGUUUCCGAAAAGUCAACACCAAACAUUUGUGCAUACCCUUUGACAACCAGCCUUGCUUUAUGUUUGUUUAUAGAACCAUCAGAGUUGAGUUUGGUUCUGUAAACCCACUUAACCCCAAUAGGUUUUUUGUGUGAAGGUCUAUCUACUAGCUCCCAAGUGUUGUUCUUGUCAAUCAUAUCUAGCUCCUCCUGCAUUGCAACCCUCCAUCUUUUAUUUUCAGCAGCUUCAACAAACCCUGCAAGUUCAAGAACAGCUAUAUUACACCUUUGAUAAAUAUCAAAAAGUGUCAUGAAACCUCUAACUGGAAGUUCAUCAACAUCUUCAUCAAUAUAUUGCUGAUUCUGCUCAUCCCAACUCCAUUUCUCCGUUUCCAAAAACUUAACAUCUCUACUUACCACAAUUUUACUAUUUUGUGGCAAGUAGAUUCUGUAAGCUUUUGAGGUGCUGUUGUAUCCAAUGAAAAUUCCUGGUUCUGACUUUUUAUCUAGCUUGUCUCUUUUCACCUGAGGAACAUAAGAGAAACACAAGCAACCAAAGGUCUUUAAAUUCAUUAGCAUAGGCUUAUAAGCAAACCAGGCCUCAAAAGGUGUCUGUUUCUGCAAUGCUUUUGUUGGUAGUCUAUUUAGCAAAAAUACUACUGUAUUUGCAGCUUCAACCCAAAAACUUUUUGGCAGCUCUUUCUCAUGCAAAAGACAUCUUGUCAUUGAUUACUACUCAAAAAGUGCUAUUUGAUAGCCUUUAAUUAAUCCUUUUUAACACUUUUGAGUAGUAGUUUAGGCCUUUUAACUCAAUUGGCAUGUUAAGGAUCCUUUAAAGCAAUUUUGAUCACUUUGUGCAAGUUUUGGUGUUUUUGUUAGUAUUUCGAUCACCAAAGCAAGUCAAGAAUGAGGAGAGCUAUGAGGAAUCUUGGGCAAAGCUUAGAAUUCAAUUGCCAAGAGUGAAUCCGGAUUGCAAGGAGAAAAAGCAAAGAGGAUCAGUCAUGGAGCAUAUUCUUGAUGACAGUCGUAGCAGCCACUUUUGGAUCACUUUCUGAAGUCCAAAUGAUGCAAGCUAUAUACCAUUUCAAAGCUCAGGAAGUCAACAAUCCAAUGCUUCAAACGGUGUGCGAUUCGGAAUUGAAACGAAGAAGUUGCAGCCAUUACAAGCCAGACACUCUAAAGUGUUGCGGAAUCAGCCAUGUGUUGCGAGAAUUUCGCAGCACUUUUGUACAGUAAGGUGUUUCUCCUUCUAACGAUGCACGAACCAUGCCGCGAGAAGGGAGCUGGAAACUUCAAGAUGGAAGCCAACUUUGCAGCCUAGUGAAGAUAGCUCGGUCUUGCAAGAUAAUUUCGCAGCCCUCUUGGGUGUCUGCGAAAUUUCGCAGGCCUCAUUUUUCACCUGCGAAAUGGCUCUUGAAGCCUCCCGAAGCUUGCUACCGACAUUGGGAGAUAUUUUCCAUUAGAUUUUUGUUGUCUAAAUCCCAAAAUACUCCUUGUAAACCACCAAUUACAUGAUUCCUUAGUUUUUAAGUUAGUAAAAAGACCAAAUAUCUUUGUAACAAUUAGUUUUAUAUUUUGUUGUUAUAAAUACCUCUCGGGAGCCUGUUCUCAGGGAGGAGUUCCUUCUGUAAACGUUUGGUAAGCAAGUAAAGUCUAUUUUCUUUCUACUGCCUUACCUUCUCACUUUGUAUUUUCAUUUUAUUUCUAAGUUAUGAAUUCUCUGAGGAGUUUUCCCCAAAGAAUGAGUAACUAAACCUCCAAUUCCUUGGAGCUAAGGUUGCCGGGGAAGGUUCCAAGUGCAAGAAUGCAAAGCUCUGUGGUUUUAGCUAGUAAUGAAGAGGAAGUGAAAUCCUUUAGUGAUUUCAAUGUUUUUAGUUAACUUAAAACACUUUGGAGUCACCUGGGCCAACACUUGGUAAGGCAAGUGAUUUCCAACCAUGGAAAUGCACUAGUUUACCCCUUGCGAGCCUCUGGUAGGUGACUUCAAGGUAGGAUUUUCUGGAAUUACCAACACUUGGUAAGCUUUUGGACUCCUAGGAGACAUCCAUUAGUUAUCUCUUGCGAGUUUGUGAAGGGAAUCCAAGGUUAAAGAUCACCUUGAAUGGUAAGUGCUCGUGAGAGGCAUGAACCAUUGCAAGUUGUAUCAGUGAGAGAAUUAAAGUGAAAUCUAAUUGAAGGAGUCUUUGUACAUCACCGGUUAGAGAAUUGACUAUAAGUUGAAUCUCUAAUGCGAGGAAAUGAACCAACUGACCAGAGCCGUGUCUUUUGCAUGAGGAACCACCCCAGUGAACCUAAAUCUCCAAGGAAUGUUUUUUUCUUCCUAAAUUAUUCCAAACUUCUGUUAAGUUAGUUAGUUUAAAUCUCAACCUUUACAAAUCAAAGUUUGUGUUUUAUUCCUUAAGCUAACCGUGAAAUGAAACAAGACCAAUUCACUUGGAAUUGGUAUCAUUGAUUGCCUGCAAAUCAUUCCCAGUGAACGAUCCUAGAGCCACUAUACUAUAGUAGCUUUGUAUUUGCUACCCUAGUGUAUGGUGUUAUAGGUAUAAAUUUUGUUGAUCACUUCCUCAAUCAAGGAGCACCAGCUGAACACAAAUCAGCUGAGACACCAAUUAGGCAUGAGUCAAAUGGCGCCGUUGCCGGGGAAUGAAUGUCAAGUUCAUUGUGAUACCAUUGUUGAGCACUUGUGAUUUUCAUCACAAGUUGGUAAAGUUUCUUUCACUUUACUAAUUUUCAUUCUUUCUUUGUUUAUUUACAAUCUAAGUUUAUCUUUUUAAAUUUUAGUCUAGUUUAAUUUUGUUGUUGUAGCCCUGUUUUUCUUGUUGUCCUCUGUUUUCAUUUUUUUUUUCAGGUAGAUACUAGUUGUGUAUGCCCAAGUGGAUACGAGACAUAGGAGGUAGGCUUGUUAAGUGUGAUACACCUCAGAAAGGAGAAUUUGAAGUAAUCUUGAAUAUCAUGGAGGCUGCACCUGAAGAUCAGCAUAGUCACCAAGGUCGUCAAGACAAUCUCAAUGAAUUCAGAUCAAUGAGGGACCGUAUGCAUCCACCUCGUAUGAGUACACCAUCAUGUAUAGUGCCCCCUACAGAGCAGCUAGUGAUCAGACCAUAUCUUGUUCCACUUCUACCAACUUUCCAUGGGAUGGAAAGUGAGAAUCCGUAUGCACACAUCAAGGAAUUUGAAGAUGUUUGUAAUACAUUCCAAGAAGGAGGAGCUUCAAUUGACUUGAUGAGGCUUAAGUUAUUUCCUUUUACUUUAAAGGAUAAGGCCAAAAUUUGGCUUAAUUCUUUAAGGCCAAGGAGUAUCCGCUCUUGGACUGAUUUACAAGCUGAGUUCCUUAAGAAAUUUUUUCCUACUCAUAGAACAAAUGGCUUGAAAAGGCAAAUUUCAAACUUCUCAGCUAAAGAGAAUGAGAAAUUCUAUGAGUGUUGGGAAAGAUACAUGGAAGCUAUAAAUGCUUGUCCUCACCAUGGCUUUGAUACUUGGCUAUUGGUGAGCUAUUUUUAUGAUGGUAUGUCCUCCUCAAUGAAGCAACUCCUCGAGACAAUGUGUGGAGGAGAUUUCAUGAGCAAAAAUCCAGAGGAAGCUAUGGAUUUCUUGAGCUAUGUAGCUGAUGUUUCAAGGGGAUGGGAUGAACCAACUAAAGGAGAAGUGGGAAAGAUGAAGUCUCAGUUGAAUGCUUACAAUGCAAAGGCUGGGAUGUAUAAUUUGAAAGAAGAUGAUGACAUGAAAGCAAAGUUGGCAGCUAUGACAAGAAGAUUGGAGGAGCUGGAGCUGAAAAGAAUGCAUGAAGUGCAAGCUGUUGCUGAAGCACCAGUGCAAGUGAAGCUGUGUCCCAAUUGUCAAUCAUUUGAACAUUUGGUGGAGGAGUGCCCUGCAAUUUCAGUUGAAAGGGAAAUGUAUAGAGAUCAAGCAAAUGUUGUUGGACAAUUUAGGCCCAAUAACAAUGCUCCUUAUGGAAAUACCUACAAUUCAAGUUGGAGGAAUCAUCCAAAUUUCUCAUAGAAGGCCAGAGCAACUCAAUACCAACAGCCGGAUCCACCAUCUCAGCAAUCUUCAAGUAUUGAACAAAUAAUAGCCAAUCUCAGCAAGGUAGUGGGAGAUUUUGUGGGAAAGCAAGAAGCCACCAAUGCUCGAGUUGAUCAAAGAAUGGAUAGAAUGGAGAGUGUGUUGAACAAAAGAAUGGAUGGAAUGCAAAAUGAUAUGAACCAAAAGUUUGAUAACAUCCAAUAUUCAAUUUCAAGGCUUACAAAUUUGAAUACACUGCAAGAAAAAGGAAGAUUUCCUUCUCAACCUAACCAAAAUCCCAAAGGUGUCCAUGAAGUGGAAAGCCAUGAGGGAGAAUCAUCACAGGUGAAAGAUGUGAAAGCUUUGAUCACUCUAAGGAGUGGUAAGAAAAUUGAGCAGCCAACACCCAUGCCACAUGUUGAGAAAGAAGAAGGGAUAAAGAAAGGAAAGGAAAUAGAAGAUAAAGACAGUGAGAUCAGUGAAGAAAAGAAGGACUCUGAUUCAACAAUCAAAGCAAUUCCAGAGAAAGAGCUUCUGAAGGAAGAAAUGCUGAAGAAAUCAACUUUUCCACCUUUUCCUCAAGCAUUACAGGGGAAAAAGGGGGUUAGAAAUGCAGCUGAAAUCCUUGAAGUCUUAAGACAAGUAAAAGUUAAUAUUCCACUGCUGGAUAUGAUCAAACAAGUUCCAACGUAUGCAAAAUUCCUAAAGGACUUGUGUACUAUCAAAAGAGGGGUUGACUGUAAACAAGAAAGCCUUCUUGACUGAGCAAGUAAGUGCAAUCUUACAAUGCAAGUCUCCUUUGAAGUACAAAGACCCUGGAAGUCCUACCAUUUCAGUCAUGAUUGGAGGAAAGGUAGUGGAGAAAGCCUUGCUAGACUUGGGAGCAAGUGUGAAUUUGCUUCCAUACUCUGUCUACAAGCAACUGGGACUUGGAGAGUUGAAGCCAACAGCAAUCACUUUAUCUUUGGCAGAUAGAUCAGUGAAAAUUCCAAGAGGAGUAAUUGAGGAUGUAUUGGUUCAAGUGGAUAAUUUCUACUAUCCAGUAGAUUUUGUUGUUCUUGAUACUGAUCCAACUGUAAAGGAAGCUAAUUUAGUUCCUAUCAUCCUUGGAAGGCCAUUUCUUGCAACUUCAAAUGCAAUCAUCAACUGUAGAAAUGGGCUUAUGCAACUCACUUUUGGUAACAUGACACUGGAUCUCAAUAUUUUCUAUAUGUCUAAAAAGCAAAUCACUCCUGAGGAAGAAGAAGGUCCAGAAGAGCUAUGUAUUAUUGAUACUUUGGUGGAGGAGCACUGCAAUCAGCAUAUGCAAGAUAAGUUGAAUGAAAGUCUUGUGGAUAUUGAGGAAGGUUUUUCUGAAUCUCCUAUUGGGCUUGCUACUCUACAAAGUUGGAGAAAGAUAGAAGGAAUUCUACCUUUGUUCAAUGAAAAAGAGGAGGCAACUGUUGAAGAAGAAAUUCCAAAACUCAAUUUGAAGCCUUUACCUGUGGAGCUGAAAUAUACAUAUCUUGAAGCAAAUAAUCAAUGUCCUGUUGUGAUAUCCUCAUCUCUGACCAGUCAUCAAGAGAAUUGUUUAAUGGAAGUUCUCAUGAGGUGUAAGAAGGCAAUAGGAUGGCAAAUAUCUGACUUGAAAGGCAUUAGUCCUUUAGUUUGUACUCAUCAUAUAUAUAUGGAGGAGGAAGCAAAGCCAAUUCGUCAAUUUCAAAGAAGGUUGAAUCCUCAUCUACAAGAGGUGGUGCGAGCUGAGGUGCUGAAGCUACUUCAAGCAGGAAUCAUUUACCCUAUUUCUGAUAGCCCUUGGGUGAGUCCUACUCAAGUGGUACCAAAGAAGUCAGGGAUCACAGUGAUUCAAAAUGAAAAAGGGGAAGAAAUUACUACACGCCUCACUUCAGGUUGGAGGGUGUGUAUUGAUUAUAGAAAGCUGAAUGCUGUCACCAGGAAGGAUCAUUUUCCAUUGCCAUUUAUUGAUCAAGUGCUGGAGAGAGUCUCUGGACAUCCAUUUUAUUGUUUCUUGGAUGGGUAUUCAGGCUAUUUUCAAAUUGAAAUUGAUUUGGCAGAUCAGGAAAAGACCACUUUUACAUGUCCAUUUGGAACAUUUGCUUAUAGAAGAAUGCCUUUUGGUUUAUGCAAUGCACCUGCUACAUUUCAAAGAUGUAUGUUGAGUAUUUUCAGUGAUAUGGUGGAGAGAAUUAUGGAGGUUUUCAUGGAUGACAUCACCGUAUAUGGAGGUACAUUUGAGGAGUGCUUGGUUAAUUUGGAAGCAGUUCUUCAUAGAUGCAUUGAAAAAGAUUUGGUGCUGAACUGGGAGAAAUGCCAUUUUAUGGUACGUCAAGGAAUUGUCCUUGGCCAUAUCAUCUCUGAAAGAGGCAUUGAAGUUGAUAAAGCAAAGGUGGAGCUUAUUGCCAAAUUACCAUCUCCAACAACUGUGAAAGGAGUAAGACAGUUCCUUGGCCAUGCAGGGUUCUAUAGGAGGUUUAUAAAAGGUUUUUCAAGUCUUUCAAAACCUCUUUGUGAGCUGUUAGCUAAGGAUGCUAAGUUUAUAUGGGAUGAAAGGUGUCAGCAUAGCUUUGAUCAACUGAAGAAGUUUUUAACAACAACUCCAAUAGUGAGAGCCCCUAACUGGCAAUUACCUUUUGAACUGAUGUGUGAUGCCAGUGACUUUGCUAUAGGAGCUGUGCUUGGCCAAAGAGAAGAUGGGAAGCCCUAUGUGAUUUACUAUGCAAGUAAAACACUAAAUGAAGCUCAGAGGAACUACACAACUACAGAGAAAGAAUUGUUAGCUGUGGUAUUUGCUUUGGACAAAUUUCGAGCUUAUUUAGUGGGGUCUUUCAUCAUUGUCUUCACUGACCAUUCAGCCUUGAAGUAUUUAUUGACAAAGCAAGAUGCAAAAGCAAGGUUGAUUAGAUGGAUUCUAUUGUUACAAGAGUUCGAUCUUCAAAUCAAAGAUAAGAAAGGAGUGGAGAAUGUAGUAGCUGACCACUUGUCAAGGUUAGUUAUAGCACAUAAUUCCCAUCCCUUGCCUAUCAAUGAUGAUUUUCCUGAAGAAUCACUCAUGUUCCUAGUGAAAACUCCUUGGUAUGCUCAUAUUGCUAAUUAUUUAGUAACUGGGGAAAUUCCAAGUGAGUGGAAUGCACAGGACAGGAAGCACUUCUUUGCCAAAAUUCAUGCUUAUUAUUGGGAAGAGCCCUUUCUCUUUAAGUAUUGUGCAGAUCAGAUUAUUAGGAAGUGUGUCCCUGAAGAUGAGCAGCAAGGGAUUCUAUCUCAGUGUCAUGAGAAUGCAUGUGGAGGCCACUUUGCCUCUCAGAAAACAGCCAUGAAGGUAUUACAAUCAGGGUUUACUUGGCCAUCUCUUUUCAAAGAUGCCCACAUCAUGUGUAGAAAUUGUGAUAGAUGCCAAAGGCUUGGAAAGCUAACAAAAAGAAAUCAAAUGCCUAUGAACCCCAUUCUGAUAGUUGAGAUAUUUGAUGUUUAGGGCAUUGACUUCAUGGGACCUUUCCCAAUGUCUUUUGGUAAUUCUUACAUUUUGGUGGGGGUAAAUUAUGUUUCUAAAUGGGUUGAGGCAAUCCCCUGUAAGCAAAAUGAUCACAGGGUGGUUCUCAAGUUUCUUAAAGAGAACAUUUUCUCAAGAUUUGGGGUGCCCAAGGCCAUAAUCAGUGAUGGAGGAGCUCAUUUUUGCAACAAACCUUUUGAAGCUCUGUUAUCCAAGUAUGGAGUGAAGCAUAAGGUAGCCACACCUUAUCAUCCUCAGACAUCCGGGCAAGUUGAGCUAGCUAACAGGGAAAUAAAGAACAUUUUGAUGAAAGUGGUGAAUUCCAACAGAAAAGAUUGGUCUAUUAGGCUUCAUGAUUCAUUGUGGGCAUAUAGAACAGCUUAUAAAACUAUUCUUGGGAUGUCUCCCUAUCGUCUUGUCUAUGGCAAAGCAUGCCAUCUCCCUGUGGAAGUUGAAUACAAAGCUUGGUGGGCAAUAAAGAAGCUGAAUAUGGACUUGAUCAAGGCCGGAGAAAAGAGAUUUCUAGACCUUAAUGAGAUGGAGGAAUUAAGAAAUAAUGCUUAUAUCAAUUCCAAAGUUGCAAAACAGAGGAUGAAGAAGUGGCAUGAUCAACUCAUCUCCAACAAGGAAUUUCAGGAAGGGCAAAAAGUUUUGAUGUAUGACACAAGACUCCAUAUCUUUCCUGGGAAGCUCAAAUCAAGGUGGAUUGGUCCAUUUGUUAUUCACCGAGUAUAUUCCAAUGGAGUGGUGGACUUAUUGAAUUCCAAUGGCAAGGAUAGCUUUAAAGUCAAUGGAUAUCGUCUCAAGCCGUUCAUGGAGUCAUUCAAAUCAGAAAAGGAGGCAAUCAACCUCCUUGAACCUCAAAAAGCCUAAGUGAAAAGGGUUUGCUGGACGUGGCUUUACCACAGUCCAAAAUUUUUGUAAAUUUUGUAAAUUUUCAAGUUGUUUCUAUACUUUUGAUUUUAGUUUUUGAUCUUAAAUCAUGUUUUUAGGUGUGUUUUAAUCGUUUUAAAUGAUCCCAGGUGGAAGAAAUUUCAAGGGGAUUGAAAGAAAAAAAAUCGGGUCGAAAUUGGAGCCGAAACAGAGCAAAAACAGGGGAAAAACAGAGCUCUGCGAAAUUUCGCAGGGUGAAGGAAACCUCUGCGAAAUGAGCAUUUUGUUGCGAAACCAUUCCGCAGCACUGUAGAAGCCUCUGCGAGUGUAUUUCGCAGCUGCGAAAGUGAAUUUGGCACACGAGUGCCACUUCGCAGUACAGUAGCAUCCAUUUGGCAGCUGCGAAACUCAUUGCGAAAUGGAAAAGCGUGAUUUCGCACCAAAAGUCCCAUUCCGCAGGGUAUUUCGCAAUUGCGAAAGUGGUUUUGGCACACGAGUGCCACUCCGCAGCACAGUAACAUCAAUUUCGCAGCUGCGAAACUCACUGCGAAGUUGCUGCGAAAAUGGCAAGUUGCUGCGAAAUUGGCGUUUAGUUGCGAAACUUAAACUGACCCCUGAGCUUCCGUUUUUCCUAUUUAUACCGGUCAAAAGUGCUGCGAAAAGGGUUUCAAAAAUCAGAGCACCAUUCUCGCAGCCCCUUCAUCUUCUUCGCCAAGCCACGCCGUCCGAACCUCCGGUCGUCUUCUCCGUUUAGCAGCGCCGGCCAAAGAUCGAUAUUCCAAAAUGGCACGAACGCGAGGGGCAAAAUCUUCAUCCCCUUCGAAUCGCAAAAGGAGUCUGCGAAAGGAGCCAAGUCCAGGUUCUGCUCCAGAACCUGCUCCAAAGCCUUCGCCGUCGAGACCACAACCUUCUCCAGUGAAGCCGGCGCCACUAAAGCCGCCGGCAAGACGAUAUUUGACAAGGUCAGGCGGUUGGCCAUUGAAGAAGAAGCCCAGGGUUGAGAGCUCUGAACCAAUUGAUUUGACUGAGCAAUCCCCUGAGCAGUCCCCAAAUCCUUCACCAGUUCAAACUCCAGUGCCGUCACCGGUUCCCUCGCCAAUUCCCUCACCUGAAGCAACUCCAAUUCCAUCGUCGGUACCAUCUCCGGCACCCCAAGAAAAAGCUCAGGAGCCUCAAGCGCCAAUUCCAGAGCCCCAAAUUGCAGCUGAAGCACCUCUGGAAGAAGUGAUCCGAAGGCCAAUGCUGCCCCAGCCCCCAAUCGAAGGAAACUUGGAUUGUCGAACACGGGCAUUCCAUUCUGAGCUUUGCUUCGAUUUAACAGCAUUCAGAGUGAGGCCAGAGCUUGCCCAAUCCUUCCAGCUGCUGAGGAGAUAUCAUAUGGAGCAUCUGCUAGCUCCAAGGGAUUUUUUCUAUCCCCGGGUAGUCACGGACUUCUACCAGACCAUGACAACCAAAGAAGUAAGAAAUCCAACUCUGAUCCAUUUCAUAAUUGAUGGAAGGCAUGGUAUUUUGGGAGCAAGACACAUUGCUGAAGCUCUGCAAAUUCCUUUUGAGCCAACCCAAUUCGACAAUUUUAAAGCUUGGGUAAAUCCUACUGAGUUAGAGAUGGUUCGCACACUAACCAGAGGAGCUGCAAAUCGAUCACACCUGUUGAGGGGGGAGCUACCUCCAGUGAUGUUUUUGAUUGAUGCCUUUUUGAGGCAUAAUAUCUAUCCCCUGCAGCAUUGGACCCAAAGAAGGGGAAUUCUCCUGGAAGCUUUGUACAAGAUGUCAGAAGGAUUCUUCUUUGGGCCCCAUCAUCUUAUCAUGGCAGCCCUUCUAUACUUUGAGGAAAAGGUUCACAAGAAGAAACUUCAAAGAGCAGAUUGCAUUCCACUCCUCUUCCCAAGGCUGCUAUGCCAAGUUUUGGAGCAUCUCGGAUACCCCUCUGAGCCUCAGCAGGAAAGAAAGAGAAUAUGCCGUGAGCCAUUUACUCUUGAUAAAUGGAAUAAUAUGACGGCCUACAAAAUUGAUCAGCCUGGGCAGCCUCAGCCAGCAGCAAGGAGAGCCUCCCCAAGACAUGCACCUGAAGGUAUAACACUUGCUACUCCUGCCAUCCCUCGAGCUUCACCAGCUGCACCUGCUGCAUCACAGCCAUCCACAUCAGCUGAGCCGAGGAUGGCCAUCCCUAUAUCCGAAUAUCGAGAGCUGUGCCGAGCAUUGGAGACUCUUACAGCUUCCCAGAGCAAUCUUGCUCAAGAGUUGGCAGCCAUCAAAGCAUGCCAGGAGCAGAUGUUAGCCUCUCAGGCUCAACAAGCUGCCAUCCUAAGGCAGCUUCAAGUCCAUUUCGAUCUGCCACAAGCUGUAGAGCCCUCCACUGAGACUCCACCAGAGCCACACUCUCAGCCUUCAGAGUCUCUUCCUCCAGAGCCAGAAGCCCCAACUGAUCCACCUACAGAGGAGGCGGAUCCUUCUGCUUAGCACCAUCACCCCACUCAUCAGACAUUAUAUAUAUUUGCUGUUUAUGUUUUUAUGCAUGUUUGUUUUGUUUUAGUUGAAAUGAAAUCCCAGUAUUUUGGUACUAUAUAUGGGAUUCCUUGUGAUUACUUGUCCUUAGCAUUGUACUCGAAUGAAUUGAAAGUAAUACAAGUUGAAUUUUUCUUGUUAAAAGUUAGCAUUAAAAUUCUCCUUAUUUCCUUUUCUCACAUAUUCUAUUCUUUUUGAAACAUGUGGUUUUCCCCAAUCAAUAUUCGAAUUUGAUAUCAGCAUGGAGGUACCACUUCCUCCCUUUUAUUACAGUCACUCAAAUCACAUUGAGGACAAUGCUCAGUUCGGUUGGGGGGUAUGAGGAAGGAAGUAUUCUAAAUCUUUUUGGUAUUGCAAUUAUAUUGGUUAAUUAGUUGUAGAUUUUACGUUUUACUCUUGUUACUCUAUUCUCCAUGAAUUUUGAGGAAAAAUUUUCAAAUUAAACCAAGAGAAAUUGAACUGUUGUUUUUCACUUGACUUAGAGUAUGGAUUAUGCUUACUAAAGUGGUUCAAUUGUUGAAACUUCUACUGAAAUUGAAUUGAGUUCUUCCAUUUUAAGCUAUCCACACACUGUGCACAUUAGUUUCUGAUUAUAAGAUGAAAAGCUAUUUCCCUCUUGACUUAGGAUAAUUUUGGGACUUGGUAUAUUUGACCUCAUUUGAUAAAAAUUGAAACACCCUGCAAAAGGCCAAUGAGCCUUUGAAAUAAAGAAAGAUGUUUGCUUGCCUUGAAACCCGAGCAAGGUCUGAGGGGCAUAUGGUGAAAGCCUUUAAAGCCUGGUGCCCUAAGCCUUAAUUGGUUGGGAGUCACCGACCUCAAUGCUCGUUACAAGGGUGAAUAGGUAGAGCUAGCAUAUGGUAGAUGCUUGGGUAUUAGAAAUUCAUUCUUAAAAGUCCAGGGAAAAAUCCGAGGAGUUAGUGGUUGAAAGAUCCUUAAAACUUGGUGCCCUAAACCUUAAUUGGUUGGGAGUCAUCGAUGGACCCCCAUUACAUGGACAAGUCAGAAAGAGUACCCCAUAAAGCUACUUUAAAAAAAAAAAAAAAAAAAAAAAAAAGAUGAUGAAAGUGUGUUCUUUUCUUAUUGAUUUUGGUCAGAUUGCUAAAGUGUUGAAAAGAGAUAGGUUGGGGGGGGAGACUAGUUUAGCAUAUUAUUCUCGGAAUCUAAGGAACCAAUACACAUAGAUUUUUGUGGAAGAUUGAAGUUUAGUUCUUAGAAAGUGAAAUGAUUUUAAAACUUCAGUUUGCAUAAUGCACUCCCUUGAUUGACAGUGUUUAGCAUAGGUGUUAUGACUCUUGUUGAGAUUUGGGUUUGUAUUUCUUUAAUGAUUCAUGUGAGAAGUAAAUCAUCAUGCCACUUAAGAAUUAUUUUCCUUUCAGCAUGAUGUUGUAAAUUUUAGAUUAGUUUGCUAUUUAUUUUUAUUUUUCUCUCCUUUAUUGCUAAGGGACUAGCAAUAUGUCGGUUGGGGGGAGUGAUUACUACUCAAAAAGUGCUAUUUGAUAGCCUUUAAUUAAUCCUUUUUAACACUUUUGAGUAGUAGUUUAGGCCUUUUAACUCAAUUGGCAUGUUAAGGAUCCUUUAAAGCAAUUUUGAUCACUUUGUGCAAGUUUUGGUGUUUUUGUUAGUAUUUCGAUCACCAAAGCAAGUCAAGAAUGAGGAGAGCUAUGAGGAAUCUUGGGCAAAGCUUAGAAUUCAAUUGCCAAGAGUGAAUCCGGAUUGCAAGGAGAAAAAGCAAAGAGGAUCAGUCAUGGAGCAUAUUCUUGAUGACAGUCGUAGCAGCCACUUUUGGAGCACUUUCUGAAGUCCAAAUGAUGCAAGCUAUAUACCAUUUCAAAGCUCAGGAAGUCAACAAUCCAAUGCUUCAAACGGUGUGCGAUUCGGAAUUGAAACGAAGAAGUUGCAGCCAUUACAAGCCAGACACUCUAAAGUGUUGCGGAAUCAGCCAUGUGUUGCGAGAAUUUCGCAGCACUUUUGUACAGUAAGGUGUUUCUCCUUCUAACGAUGCACGAACCAUGCCGCGAGAAGGGAGCUGGAAACUUCAAGAUGGAAGCCAACUUGGCAGCCUAGUGAAGAUAGCUCGGUCUUGCAAGAUAAUUUCGCAGCCCUCUUGGGUGUCUGCGAAAUUUCGCAGGCCUCAUUUUUCACCUGCGAAAUGGCUCCUGAAGCCUCCCGAAGCUUGCUACCGACAUUGGGAGAUAUUUUCCAUUAGAUUUUUGUUGUCUAAAUCCCAAAAUACUCCUUGUAAACCACCAAUUACAUGAUUCCUUAGUUUUUAAGUUAGUAAAAAGACCAAAUAUCUUUGUAACAAUUAGUUUUAUAUUUUGUUGUUAUAAAUACCUCUCGGGAGCCUGUUCUCAGGGAGGAGUUCCUUCUGUAAACGUUUGGUAAGCAAGUAAAGUCUAUUUUCUUUCUACUGCCUUACCUUCUCACUUUGUAUUUUCAUUUUAUUUCUAAGUUAUGAAUUCUCUGAGGAGUUUUCCCCAAAGAAUGAGUAACUAAACCUCCAAUUCCUUGGAGCUAAGGUUGCCGGGGAAGGUUCCAAGUGCAAGAAUGCAAAGCUCUGUGGUUUUAGCUAGUAAUGAAGAGGAAGUGAAAUCCUUUAGUGAUUUCAAUGUUUUUAGUUAACUUAAAACACUUUGGAGUCACCUGGGCCAACACUUGGUAAGGCAAGUGAUUUCCAACCAUGGAAAUGCACUAGUUUACCCCUUGCGAGCCUCUGGUAGGUGACUUCAAGGUAGGAUUUUCUGGAAUUACCAACACUUGGUAAGCUUUUGGACUCCUAGGAGACAUCCAUUAGUUAUCUCUUGCGAGUUUGUGAAGGGAAUCCAAGGUUAAAGAUCACCUUGAAUGGUAAGUGCUCGUGAGAGGCAUGAACCAUUGCAAGUUGUAUCAGUGAGAGAAUUAAAGUGAAAUCUAAUUGAAGGAGUCUUUGUACAUCACCGGUUAGAGAAUUGACUAUAAGUUGAAUCUCUAAUGCGAGGAAAUGAACCAACUGACCAGAGCCGUGUCUUUUGCAUGAGGAACCACCCCAGUGAACCUAAAUCUCCAAGGAAUGUUUUUUUCUUCCUAAAUUAUUCCAAACUUCUGUUAAGUUAGUUAGUUUAAAUCUCAACCUUUACAAAUCAAAGUUUGUGUUUUAUUCCUUAAGCUAACCGUGAAAUGAAACAAGACCAAUUCACUUGGAAUUGGUAUCAUUGAUUGCCUGCAAAUCAUUCCCAAUGAACGAUCCUAGAGCCACUAUACUAUAGUAGCUUUGUAUUUACUACCCUAGUGUAUGGUGUUAUAGGUAUAAAUUUUGUUGAUCACUUCCUCAAUCAAGGAGCACCAGCUGAACACAAAUCAGCUGAGACACCAAUUAGGCAUGAGUCAGUCAUCUCCAUUAUUGUUUUAUUUUUUCUUUCCACCACCCCAUUUUGUUGUGGGGUGUAUGGUGCAAUGAGCUGGUGAUCUAUGCCUGCAUCUUCACAAAAUUUGUUGAAUUUUUCUGAAGUAUAUUCUGUACCAUUAUUCGACCUUAUAACCUUGAUUCUGUAUUCACUUUGAUUUUCAACCAUGGCCUUAUAUCUCAAAAACACAUCAGCAACCUCAGCUUUGUAAGUGAGAAAAUAAAUCCAACAAAAUCUUGUGAAGUCAUCAAUAAAUGCAAUAUAGUACUUACUCCCUUUCAAAGAUGGUGUCUUUUGAGGUCCACUCACAUCUGUGUGAACCAAUUGUAGUUUCUGUGUUGAUUUCCAUGCUGCUUUUUGAGGAAAAGGAAGUCUUGUUUGCUUCCCAUAUUGAUAGGCUGCACAUAUAGGAAGUUCUUCUUCCAAAUCAGGGAGUCCUUCUACAAUCUAAUUCUUCUUCAUGUAGAGCACGGUAUUGUGGUGGAAAUGCCCUAAUCUUUUAUGCCAAAGCAUUGUAUUGUUCUCGUGUUGUGCAGCAGUAAUUUGCUCAUCUUCUAACAUAUUUAAGGCAAAACUUUUGCCUUUCAUUUUUAUGUUGAACACCUCUUUGCCUUCAGCAUCCUUGAUUAUGCAAUUUUUGUCUUCAAAACAAACUUUAAACCCUUUCUCAACAAGCUGUCCAACACUUAGCAAAUUUUGGUCAAUGUCAGGCACAAACAAAACAUCAGAAAUGAGCUUUAAACCUGUUAGGCUUUCAAUAGCUAAUGUUCUUUUACCUUUUACUGGAAUAUACUCACCAUUUCCUAUUCUAACUUUGGAAAUAGUUGUCCUAUCAAUCUCCCUAAAGCGAUCUUGAUCAUGUCAUGUGGUUUGUGCAACCACUGUCCACGAGCCAGCUUUCAGAGGUGCUACCGUUUGCAAAACAUGUUGCUGAAAAUAGUUGUUCCUCCUGGUAUUGUUCAGCUGCUACAUUGGUUUCUCCCUGCUGCUGCUGAGUUCUACAGAUCCUUUCUAUGUGUCCAUGUCUACCACAUUUGUUGCAUUUCACAUCUGGUCUCCACCAACAUUUUUGUUGAGGAUGAUUUGUUUUCUUGCAAUGAGGACAGGGUGGAUAGGUUCCAGUUUUUUUAUUGUUGUUGUUGCUUGGCUUAUUGUUGUUCUUUUUGUUCUUCCUCCUUCUUGUGUUACCUUCAUUGGUCUGUGUCUUUGCUUGAAAAGCUCCUUCUACAGAACUUCCUUGCCUCAUGAGUCUUCUUUGUUCCAAAGCUUGUAAAGCAUUUAGUAGUUCUGCCAAGGUGAUACUUGACAAAUCUUUUGUGUUUUCCAAAGAAGAAAUUGUAGCUUCAUAUUUUUCAGGAAUUGUGACAAAAUUGUUUUGAACAACUCUUUCAUCAGAAAACUCUUUACCUAGCAACCUCACCUUGUUUGCUAUGGUAAGAAGUUGUUCUGCAUAAUCUUUUAUGGUUUGAGACUCUUUCAUCCUCACCAUUUCAAAUUCUCGAAUUAGAUUCAUUACCUGCACAUUUCUGACUCUUUCAUUGCCUUGAUAUUCUUCCCGUAGAUGCUUCCAGAUUUCUGCAACAGAUUCAAGUUGCAUGAUUCUGGUGAGAAUUAAUGGUGAGACUACAGAAAAUAAGCAAGCCUUGGCCUUAGCCUUCCUCGUCUUUUUCUCCUUAUGGUUUUUCAUCUGUGACACAGUUGGAUUGGCUCCAAGUGGAGAAAUUUCAUAAUCUUCCUCUAUUGCUUCCCAGACAUCAAGAGCCUGUAGAUGAACAGUCAUCCUGACAGCCUAAGUUUGGUAAUUUUCUCCAUUGAAGACUAGUGGUGCUGCUGUGAAGCUUGCUUCUUCCAUUUCUGCAAGGUUUUCAGAUUCAGGUUUGGUAUACGGUGUUUAGGCUCACACACCUCACUGGUCCCUCAAGACAAAAAUUGCUCUGAUACCAAACUGUUGGAAGCAGGCGAGGUUAACACACCAAGCAACAGAGAACAGAGAUAUGCUGCUACUGAUCUAUAUUUUUUAUUUGAUCAUAAGGCUGAAUUUAUACAGAUUGUGUAACAUAUAUGACCUCAAAAAAAGCAUCAAAUCAAGCUACUUGUUGAACAAAAAACUACCUCCUACAAAAUAGCAUCAGAAUUUAACUUAAAAGCAAAAACAUAAUAAUAGCAACAGCAAAAACAGAAACAUAAAAAUAGCUUCAACAUUCUAGUAAUCUCAUUGACUUCAAUUGCAUGUGGUUGACGAUUUCAGCCUUUUCCUCAGCAGCUACUAAGGCAUAACUCUCAACAGGGCCUCUUAAUUUCCAUUCUGGCAUCUAUAUGACCUGAUAAAUAGAAAGAAAAAAAAACAGAAGAAAAGCGGCACCUGGGUUCAUAGUAAGCAUCAAGACAGGAUGCUGAAAGAAGGGAGAGAGGAGAUUGCAAGUCCAAUCCUGAUAAAAUAUCAACAAAGAGUAUUAAAUGGGGCCAACAUAAAGACCCAUUAAGGUCAGCAGAUGGCAUGGCAUUUUUCUCCUUAAGUUUUCCAUGAUUAGGCUUGAAGUCAAAAUUUCACAUGUAAAUUUGUAUUUCUACAUUUCCCACUGACGACACCCAACUUCAACUUGAGUUAGAAUAACAUUGUGUGAACUUAUCUGGCCCUCAAAAUUUACUGUGAAGUGCUUUCUGCGUGUGAAGAUUCAGAAAAGCACCAAGGGAACAUGUAUGGUCUGCCUUUUUCUGAUGUUAUGUUUGUCUCUAAUUCUGUUCCAUGUCAUGGUAAAUGUUCACAUUGCUUGUAUGGAACACACCAGGAUCACUUUUUCAGGUUUAGGGGGAUACAAAAGGCUUCAUAUUGGGUUCAAUGCUUUUAAUGUGUUCAUUGGACAAAUCUGAAUUAUCAUACGCAUUUAGAUAAGAACAAUAAUGUGAAACCCUAGUUACACCUCCCCUGCAUAACCCCAACCCUGCUUGCUCUAUUUCAGUUUACUCACAAGUUUUACUGGUUCUUAUAAGUCAAGAAAAGGCAACUGAUGUUGGAUCGACUCUCUUCCAUGUAAAAAAUGCAACUUUUAUACAUAUAAAAGAACUUCUUCCCCUCACCAAUGUGGGAUUUCAUAGAUUUAUUCUGGAAACACAUCAAAGGAACAUCUUUUCUCUUGGGUGACCCUAAGUGGUGAGUCAGAUCAUUUGCAUGCCAUUGAGUUGCACAGUUGGAUAAAUGCACCUGCCUCCUGGGCUCCAGAGUUAAAAGGGUGGAUCCCUGGAUUGCAACCCUCUUGGCAUCUUGGUUUCUAUUCCAACAUCCACAUGACUUGACAAAACAAAAAACAGAAUAAAAUCAGCACUAUAUUCAUGCUAAGCACCAAUACAUGAUGGAAAUCAUUGCUUAAAGAUUUGGGGUCGUUUUAGGUUUUGACUGCCUCCUACCACCUCACCUAAUGACAAGUUUUUAUGCUUACAAAUCAAAUAUCGUUCUUCAUUAUAUUAAAAUCAUUUUAAGAUUUCAGAUCCAUCUGCUAAUUAUGAUUAUGAUAACAUUUAUUCACCUGUGCUUCUCAUUUUCGACACACAAGGCAUCUAGGUUUGCAGGAUUUCCUUAUUAGAUGAGAUAAAUGAGUACGUAUGGUUAUGUAUCCAGCAUUCAUUAACCAUGGUAUGUGACAUUUAGAAUUAAGAUAGCAAGCAAACUUUCCCUGCAGCUAGAGUAAAUUGUGAUUUCUUAGCCUCUAUGAGUGGUUCCCAAAUCAAAUUAACAUAGUGAAAUAUACGUAGUCCAGUGAAAGGAAAUGUAAAUUAUAAACUAACAGCACUACACUACUGGUAACAAUCGAUACUCUCUAUAUAAUGCAAUAAACAAUGUCACAAUUGCCUACAAGCAAGGCACAAACACUAGAACAAGUAAAGCACAAACCUUUCCCAACAGUUCCCAGUGACUGAUGCAUAUCAUACCCUCAACUCACAGAAGGGGAUGAUAUCAGUGCACUGCAGCACUUAUUUUACACAUACUACCACUACUACUACUACUACUACUACUCAUUAGCCAAAGUCACUCAGUUGGGAUGAGUGUGAGGUAGAGGUUUGUGGGGUGCUAUGUGGAAAGGAGUUUGGCUUCUUCUCAGGAGAUGGUAGCUUCUUUGCAGGAGUUGAAGGAGGCUUAAUCUUCUGUGGUGGAUUGAUUGUAUGAGUCUUUGGCACUCUCUUCUCUAGUACAGGUGAAUACCCAGGGGUGCAUCCAUAAUGCGGUGGCUUCUAUCCCUUAGGUGGUUUGCCAAAU